GGAGUGGCCUGAGAAGCUAAAACAUGAACUGCAUGAGGAGCAUGAGCUGGUGCUAACUCGUCGCAGGUCUUACUAUUGUGAUAAAUGCAAUGAACGAGGACAAAUCUGGUCAUUCUACUGUGAAGAAUGUGACUUUGAUCUGCAUCCAAAGUGUGCCCUGGAAAAAGAUAAAGAAACCAAAGCUGAUGAAAAGGAGGAAGAAAGUCCAAAGGAAGGCUGGGUCUGUGAUGGGGAGGUUUGCAAAAGAGCUUGAUGAACUUUAUCCAUGGGUUUGGUGGUGCAAUUUUCUAUUUUUCAUGUAUGUUUUCAGUUAUGGCAGUGGUAGUCUACUCUAUGGUUUGUUUCUUGUUGGGCUUGGAAAUACUUGGGUAUUGUAGCAGUGGUGCUCUAUGGUUUUUUUCUUAUGAAGCUAUGUCAUAUCUUACGAGGUAAUAAAAACUUUGAAAGCGGGUCUUAAGUAGCAAUGGUGUUCUAAACUUGAAUGCAUAUCUACUGUGAAAAACCUGCAGAUUGGGUGCUCUAUGUACUGUAGAUUGGAUUGCACUGUCCACUCCACGUGUUGAUUUCUUUUUUAAUUUUUUACAUAUUUAUUAUAAAACGUUUUUGGGGUUCUCAUAGCUUUCUCUUAUUGGUGCGCUCUACUUCUUUAUUUUUUUUAAUAUCAUAUAUUUCUACUUUUUAUAUUUAAUUAUAAAAAAUUUUAAAAUGAGACAAUUUUUUUGUUUUUGGUGGGACUCUUUUUCGGUUUGGUUUUUUCAAAUUUUUUAUGUAUUUUAUAUUUUUCCAAUGAGGGCUGGGAUUCACUUUUUUUGAAUUUUUUUUUCAGUUUUACAUUUUUUAUAUGUUUUCAUUUUUCUUUAUAUUUUCUAUAAAAAAUUUUUGAAAGUAAGAUUCACAAUUCUUUGUGCUUUGUGCGACUCUCUUUUUUUUUUUUUUUUUUUACGGUUUGUCUUUUAAAAACUUUCAAAUUUUUUUAUAUAUUUUAUUUUUUUUAUUUCAAAGGGAUCCAUUAUUUUGGGAGAAACCCAUUAUUCUAUUAUAAUUUUUUUUUGGAAUCUGUUUUUUUUACUAAUCUUUUAGGGUGGCGAGGUUUUUUAUUUCGAAGGGAUACAUUUCUUAAUUUUUAAAAAAAUUUAAUUAUUUAUUAUAUAUUUUUAUUACUUAGUUGAUACAAAAUGUUGUGUUUCUUUUUAAUUAAGUUUUGAUUUUAUAUAUUUUUUCAUUUUUUUUAUAUUUAAUAAAUUAUUGUUUAGAUUUUAAUUUUUUAUCAAUUUGUCAAAAAUAUGUGAGUAACAAAUAAUUUAUUUAUUUUUUACUUUUACUGUUUAAUUUUUUUUCUUGUUGAUAAAUUUUUUAUUUUUAUUUAAUAAAUAUAUUUGAAAUAUUUUUUUAACUGAUGAACAAAUUUGAUAUUAUUAUUAAAUAUAUUAUUUUUAGUUAUUUUUUAUAUGAUAUUUUAAAAAUUAUUAACGAGGAGGUCAACGUCAUAUCUUAAUUUAAUUUUUUUGUCCUUUCUUUUGGUUUUUUUUUUCAAAUUCAUGAUAUAAAUUUGUCAAAAAAUAAUUGUUGCCGGUGUUAUGUGUCAACUUAAUUUUUUUUAUUUUUUUCUUUAGUUUUUUUAUUCCUGUUUUUUCCACUUUUCUAUUUAAUAAAUAUUUUUUAUUUAUUCUUUUAUGGGGAGGGUAAUUUUUAUUAAUAAUUAGAAUAACUUUGGUACCUUCUUUUGUAAUUAAAUAGUUUUGUAUAGAAAUAUAUUAAUGGAUGUAUCAACAUGAUAUCUAGAUUUGAUUUUUUUUAAAAUUUUUUAAAAUUUUAUAAUAUAAGAAAAAUGAUCUUCUUAAUCAAUAAUAUCAAAUUGGCUUUGCAAACAAAAAAUCACAAUAUAAUAAAAAAAUUAAAUAUAAAAAAGUAAAUAAAAAUAAAAAUAUAUAAUACAAAUUUUACAAGAAAAGUUAAUUACCAAUGUAACGUGCAACUCAACUUAUUUUAUUCCAUUAUUUUUUAUUUAUUUAAUUAGAUAAUUUUUUAAGAAAAAAUCACUUAUUUAUACUCGUGUCAUCAUUUUUUUUAUUUUUUUAUAUAUUUUAAAUUAGAUAAUUGAUAACAAAGACAAUCGAUAAAUUAAUUUUCAAAAAAAAAAUUAAUAGUGAUACGGGUAUAAAAUAACUCACAUCCGAUAAGUUUUAAUUUAUUUGAAUCUAAUAGCAUUAUUUUACAAAAAAUUAAGACCAAAUCAAAAAUAAAUUAUGGUGUUUUGUUUUACCUUAAUUAUAUAUAUUAAAUUAUAGUUUAAAUUAUUUAUUUAAUUUUAUAUUUAUAUAUGUAUUAUAUUAAUAAAAUUAUUAUUUAAUAUCUUAAUUUAAUAAAAAAUUAUAUUUAUGCAUAAUUAAAAUGAAAUUCAUUUAUUAUAUAAAUUUAAUUCAAUUUUUUUGUUUGAUCUUCAUUUAAAGUCUCAACGUGCCAUUUUUUUUUUUUCUCUUUUCUCUUUUAACUUUUUAUGGAUUUUUUAUUUUGAUAAAUUUUGUGACAAAAAAAUAUAGAUGCCUAAGUGAUACCCGAUUUAUUUUUUUUACUUUUGAUUUUUUUAAUAAAGUAAAAUUUAUAAUAAAAUGAGCUUAUUCAUAACAAUGACAAAAUAAUUUGUAUAAUACCCCAAUGAGCUUUCCUUUACUUUGUUUUUUUUUUUUUUUUUUUUUACUUUAACCCCAAUCUUGCUUUUUUUUUUUUUAUGAUUUUCACAUGGCAGUCCAUUUGAGUUUUUUUUUUUUAGUUUUUCUUUUUGCAUUUUUUUAAUAAGAUAAUUUUUGUAACACAAUUUACAAUUUUAUAAAUAUGUCAAAACAAUUCGUAUCUCAUGAUUCUUUAUUUAUCUUAAUUCAACAAAUGGAUGAUUUUCAAAAAUCAAGAUUGAAUUACGGCAAGUUAAAUUUUUAAGAAAAAGAUAAGAUUAGAUAAGAAGUGUGUUCAUAGUAUUUUGUUACGACCUAUUUUGAAGUGUCUAUAAAAUAUUUUUUUUAUUUUUUGUUUAGUUAUAUUUAUAUAUAUAUACAUACAUAUAUGUAUUCUAUUAGUAAAUUAAUUAUUUUUAUUUUAAUUUAAAAUUUUUUUAUUUUAAGCUUAAUAUGAUAUGUCAAUGUAUCAUCCUCUAUUUGCUCUUUUUUUUUCUUUUUAUAACUUAAUUUUUAGUUUUUUUCAACUUUUUUCAUUUACUUUUCUCUCACUUUUUUACUUUUUUUUUUGGUGUUUUUCAUAUUUUUUGGACUAAUUUAAAGAAAAGUUGGUCAAUUAAGAUAUACAUGUUUCAUCUCCAUUUAUUUUUCUCUCAUUUUAUAUAUUUUUUAAAUUGGAUAAAUUUUGCAACAAAAAACAAUAAUUAGAUAUGGUAAAACGAAAAAAAUUUACUCGCAAUUAGAUCAAAUAAUUCAAAACAUGACUCAAUGGAAUAACAGAAAAAAGAUAUAAAAAAUGAAAAUAACACAGGUUAAAAUUGUAGCAAAAUAAAUAAAAAAUAUUUUUUUUGCAUUAAUAUGAAUUAUGACAUUUAAUUUUUAUGAAAAACAUAAUAUAAAUAUACGAAUUCUUAAUAUUUUAUAUAAUACGAUUACAUGAAUUGACAUGUCUAUCUGUGACAUUAUGUGGACACCUUUCUAAUUAUAUAUAUAAAUAUAUGUGUGUGUAUAUAUAUAUAUAUAUAUAUAUAUAUAUAUAACGUUAUGAAUGCUUUUUAAAAUAUGAUAAAAUAUUUAAUGCAAUGUUAGAAUUUUAAAAAAAUUAAAAUAUGGUAGUUGAAUUAUGGAUUUGUUAGUUAAUAUGGUGUUUACUUCUAAUAUAAUUAAUUUAAAAUGAUGAUACGUAAUAAAUAAAUAAUAUUUAAGUAUUAUAUUAGUUAAUAAAUUUAUAAUUUAAAUACUAUAUUAAAAUUUUUUUAAAUUUAUGCUUCUCAUUAGAUAUUUAUUAUUCAAAACCAUUCGUAACAUUAAUCAUAAAAAAAUAAAAAUACUAUUUGCAAUACUAAUUUCCCUCAAACUUUUGAUCAUUGGUAUAUAAUCUUAAUUAUUACAGGACGUUUGGUUCGUAAAAUUUUAAAUUUUGAGAAAAAUAUGAUCUUUGAAAAAGUAUGAUUUCGAAGAAAAUGUAAUUUUUUAUGACAUCUCAUUUUUAAAUUCCUAUAUUUAGUUAGGAGGAAUAUGAGAUUACUUAAUCAUUUUUUUUACUAUAAUGUCUUUCACUACAUAAUAAAUCUAGCAAUUUGUUAAAUAAAAAUAAUUGACAAAAAAUGCAUUUAAAAUUGUAGAAACACAAUAUUCAACUGGCUAAUUAUAAAAAAAAAAAAAUAGUCAUCAAUUAUUACAUUAAUUUCAUGCAGUAAUUGAUUAUACACUUGUUUUAAAAAAAUUAUAAUAAAUAAUUAUUGCGUUUAGCUUUUAAAAAAUAUAGUAAUUGAUUAAUUUAAAAAAAUUAUAAUAUACAAUUAUUGUGUUUAUCCUAAAAAAAUAAUAAUUAAUUAUUUUAAAAAAAUAAUAAAUAAGUAUUGCAUUUACUUUCAAAGAAAUUUAAUAAUUAAUUAUUUUAUUAAAAUUAUAAUAUAUAAUUACAGCAUUUAUGACUAAACAAAAUACAAUAAUUGAUUAUUUUAAAAAUUAUAAUGAAUAAUUGCUAUGUUUAUUUUUUAAAAGAUGAAAUAUUUAAUUAUUUUAAAUAAAUUAUAAUAAUUAAUUAUUACAUUUAUUAAAAAAAUACAAUGAUUAAACUUUUUAUAUAUUUUACAAAAAUUACAAAAUAUAAUUAGUACAUUUAAUUUUACUGAAACGCAAUAAUUAUUUAUUUUACAACAAUUCAUCGGCAUUGUAUAUAUUACAAGUAGAUAGCUAAAAAAAUUUUAGAUCCAUCGCAUGGGUCCCAUCUCCAAUUGUUCCUUCUACAUUUUAUUUGGUCCCUUCAUUUCAUAGCGUUGAUCCCAUCUUCAAUUAACGCAGGAGAGACUCAUAUUAGCUGCUGCCACAUAUCAACUACUUCAAAAAAGUGGAAUGGCAUGCGAAAAAUAAAAACACAGUAAACGAUUAUAAUUAUUGCAUUUCAAAAUUUUCAAAAGUAAUAUUCAGUUAGAAAAAUAUAAAAAAAAAUUAUUAGUAAUCAAAUACUAUUUUUUUAUUUAAAGAAACGUGGUAAAUUUUAUAAUUACUGUAUUUUAAAAUUUAUAAUUUUGGUAUUUGAAUGAAAAAAAUUCAAAAAAAUUCAUAAUUAUUGUUUUUUUUUUUAUCUAAAUGUCAUAUUUGACAUUUAAAAAAAAAAAACUCAAAUGCUAUCCCACAUUUUGCAAUAAACAUAACAUUAGUGAUAUUUAUUUUUUCUUAAAAAAAUUUAAAUUUCAUUAUCAUACAUUAAUUUUUCAAAAAAUAAAAUAAAAAAUAAUUUUUUAUUCAAAUUAAAUAUGAAAUAAAGUUUUUUUUUAAUCUUAAAAUACCACACAAAAGUAAAAUUUUAAUUCCUAAAUUUUUGAGUACUGUUAAGAGAUUUUUUCAAGAAUCGGAUACAUCUAAUAAAACAUGAAAAUUUAAGUACUCAACAACAACACUCCAAAGGAAAUUCUGGUGAAGAUAUCUUGCAUUCUGCGGUUGGGAUGCACGGUGUUAAUGCUAAAGAACUUCAGUCAGCUUUGCAAGGGCAUCAGCAGCACUCACUUACUCAUGCAGAUAUAGCAUUGAUUCUACUUGCAGAAAUUGCAUACGAGAAUGAUGAAGACUAUCGCGAGCACUUACCUCUGCCCUUUCAUGUCACAUUUGUUUCAAUGGAUAGCUCUGAGGAUUUUGUACUGGAGCACUGCCAGCAUUUGCUUGUUAAUCUACUAUACUCACUCGCAGGUCGGCACUUGGAGCUGUCUGAGGUUGAAAGCAACGAUGGAGUGAACAAGCAGCAGAUUGUCAGUUUGAUCAAGUAUGUUCAGUCAAAGCGAGGGAGCAUGAUGUGGGAGAAUGGGGACCCUACAGUUACAAGGACUGAGCUUCCUAGUGUUGCACUUCUGUCUGCACUUGUUCAGAGUAUGGUUGCUGCAAUCUUCUUCCAAGGAGAUCUUCGUGAGACUUGGGGUGUUGAGGCACUCAAAUGGGCUAUGGAAUGCACGUCAAGACACCUUGCCUGUCGUUCUCACCAGAUCUAUCGUGCAUUGCGGCCUAGUGUUACAAGUGAUACAUGUGUAUUACUCGUUCGUUGCCUACAUAGAUGCUUGGGAAAUCCAAUACCUCCUGUUCUGGGCUUCAUCAUGGAAAUUUUACUGACCUUGCAAGUAAUGGUGGAGAACAUGGAGCCAGAAAAGGUGAUUCUCUACCCACAACUCUUUUGGGGUUGUGUGGCCAUGAUGCACACAGAUUUCAUUCAUGUCUACUGUCAGGUUCUUGAGCUUUUCUCUCGUGUGAUUGACCGUUUAUCAUUCCGGGACAGAACAAUUUAAAAUGUUCUCCUUUCCAGCAUGCCUCGAGAUGAGCUUGAUAGUGUUGAUAUUGGGGAUUUUCAGCGUAUGGAAUAUAGAGGCUAUGAUUUGCCAAAAACCAGUGGCAAUCUGCCAGUAUUUGAAGGAGUGCAGCCCCUUGUACUUAAAGGACUCAUGUCCACUGUUAGUCAUGGUGUAGCAAUUGAGGUCCUCUCUUGUAGCAUAGUGCACUCAUGUGACUCCAUUUUUGGUGAUCGCGAGACUAGACUACUGAUGCACAUUACAGGAUUGCUUCCCUGGCUUUGCUUACAGCUCGGCAAAGACCCGUUGGUGGCCCCAGCUUCACCACCGCAACAACAGUACCACAAAGCCUGCUCCGUUGCUGGCAACAUCUCAAUUUGGUGUCGAGCAAAAUCAUUGGAUGAAUUAGCCACUGUGUUUAUGGCUUACACCAGAGGUGAGAUCAAAAGCAUUGAUAAUCCCCUUGCCUGUCUCACCGUUAUUGUCCAACGAAUGGCUCCCUAAGCAUUCAGCUCUGGCUUUUGGACACCUGCUACGGCUACUGGAGAGAGGUCCAGUUGAGUAUCAACGUGUAAUAUUGCUCAUGCUUAAGGCAUUGCUCCAGCAUACUCCCAUGGAUUCGGCUCAGAGCCCACACAUGUAUGCCAUUGUAUCACAGCUAGUUGAGAGCAUCUUGUGUUGGGAGGCACUAAGUGUGUUAGAAGCUCUUUUGCAGAGUUGUAGUUCAUUGCUUGGUUCACACCCACUUGAGUCUGGGCCAUUUGAAAAUGCUAGCUCCUCAGACCUCAUUCAAGGCUCGAAGUGGGCCACUACAGUAUGCUAUGGUAUCUGGUUUCGGGGUAAGUUCAACAUCAGUUCCACAAGCAGUUUCCUACGAGUCACUUAUGACACCUAGAGAAGUGGCUUUGCAAAACACUCGAUUGAUCCUCGUGAGGGUGCUUGACAGCUGCGCCCUGGGGAGAAGGGAAUAUAGAAGGCUGGUGCCUUUUGUGACCACAAUUGGAAACCCAUGACCUGCAAGCCUGCACAUUUAAUAUUAUUAUAUAUAUUUUUUUACUUCCUUUCCUUUUGCUAUUAAUUUUAAGUAGCUUACAUUACACUUUUAGAUCAAUAGCUGGGAAAACCUGGGACCUGGCUCUGGGCAUCAUAAGUCUGUAAUUGUUGUUAGUGGUGUAAUAUUUUUGGAAGUGUCAGCAUUCCAAGCCCCUUGAAGUCCUUGCCUUAAUGUCACCUAUUCUCUAUAACUGUGUAAUUCCUAAAUUUCUCUCAAUCCAUUCCUUCGCUUUUGCUACCAUCGAACUUCCAGUUUUUAUUUUUAUUUUUAUUUUUUUUAUGCCGGCUGUCAUGGUGCUGAAGGAUGUUAUCAAUAAUUUUACAUUGGCCGUGUACUAGAAUUUGAUUGGUUAUUUAAAUGUUUACAUAUCUUCGAUUUUAAGUUAUUUUUUCAAGGCAAUACCAUGAGAUUUAACAGAGAAAAGUAGAUAAUAUAUAACAAAUUGGUGUGAAACGAACAAUAUCUCUUAUAUGCUACUCAACAUUCAAUGGACUGCAAAGAGAUUUUAAAGUCCUAUUAACUAUGAUAUGCAAUUCAGGCUUCAGGGAGAAGGAAGCAUAUCGAUCAGCUGGAGAAAAGAAAUCUCGAAAGUGGUUGUAAAGUAAGCUUAUCAAUUCAAGAGCUUCUAUUUCUGUUUUAUUCCAUAAUUCAAAAGCAAAGAUGUUUCCGUGGUUAAAGAAAAUGCGGAUGACAAUAAGAAGUCGGCUUCUGGAUUUCUGGUUCUGUUUUUACUCAUCUUGCUUUUUCUAUCCGAUGUGAUCGUCAAUUUCAUUUACGUUUUUGUCUAGCAAUUACAUUUUAUGUUUUAGCUUUUUGCAGUUCAACUGAGAUGAAAAUAAGUUUCCGGUAUCAACAUCUUUGAAUAUGCUUGGUCUGUGUAGGUAGAUUUUUGUUUUGAAUUAAGUACAUAUAAAAUUUAAAAAUUAAUUUUAUAAUUUAUGUUAAAUAUAUUAAAUAGUAAAUAUAUAUUUUAAAUUUUCUUAAAUUUAUAUAUAAUUUUUACAAAAGUUUUAAUUCAUAACUCAUAAGUUUUAUACCGAAUGAAUAUUUCACUAGUUUGUUUAUUCUUCUUUACUCUUUCCUUAGUGACAAAGUUUGUAAUAUUUAAAAAAAAAAAAGAAGAAAAAAAAAGAAGAUAAGAUCCGAAGACUUAGAAAAGAAAUCGUGGCGAAGUCAGCAGUCAAGCACUCCAACGAAACUACACCAUUACAAAACAAAUAUGACGCUGCAUUCCUUGACGCCAUUGGUCCCCGUGGAAUCUCGGUAACGUGGAUGUCCGCCUUGCCAUGCCAAUGCCUUCUUUGUCAAGAGAAAAAAGUAAAUUCUAUAAAUCAGCAGCUGCAGAGUGAAGAGUGGCUUAACGCUUCACCUUCACUCAUCAUCCAAAAGAAAAAAAAAAAAAGAAAUAAGACCAAAACAAAUUCUGUUUCAACAAUGGCAGAGGCUGAAAACAAUGUUGCUGAAACGAUCAACGGUGAUUGUCACGAUUUUAAGUCGCUUCUGUCUUCUUCAGACAGGGAUUUCCUUGUCCGUAACAACGGUGAUCAGGUAACUAAGUCCGGUAGAACAAAUCUUUCUUGUCUGAUUUUUGUCUUCUUGUAACCCUUAUCAAAGUUUGAUUAAAAGGGUCUUUUAGAAGAGGAAAACAGUUGAGUUUAGGAUUUUCCUUUUAAACUUUUCUGUGCUUAAGUUUUAAUCUUCUAGAAGGGAAAGCUGGGAAAUUAUAUUUUUUGGGAAUGGAUUUUGUUUCUUUUAAGAUUAGAUGUAGUCAACUGGGAUAAGGAUUUAGGAUGUUUUCUGAACUGGGUUUGGAGCUUUCCAUUGGCUGCCUAAAUCAAAUGAAAUUGACAAGUUAUAUUGGGUAAAUAUUAUAGUUUUUAAUAGUAAUAAUAAUCGUAACUGUCUCUACACGUUUAUUUUAAUAUGCUUUUUCAACGACUGGACCUGAUGAAUAAUAAUAGUAUGAGAUCUACUGUUGUGAUUUUAGUUUAAGGUAUAUGAACUUUAUGGUUUUUACUUUUUACUUUUAGUAUGGGAUAUGGUUUUCUUCUUAGUGAUAAUUUUUUUAAUUUUUAUUUAAUAAAUCUUUUUGAAAUAUCUUUUUAACUGAUGAACAAAUUUGAUAAUAAUAUUAUUAAAGAUAUAUUUUUUAUUUACUUUUUAUGUGAUAAUUUAAAAAUAUUAACGAGGAGUCAAUGUCAUAUCUUUUUUUUUUGUCCUUUCUUUUUUUUUUUUUGAUCUUUUUACAAAUUCAUGAAAUAAGUUUUUCUAAAAAUAAUUAUUGCCGAUGUUACGGGUCGACUCAAUUAUUUUUUUUCUUCAUUUUUUCUUUAGUUUUUUUUCUUCCUUUUUUUCACUUUUAUAUUUAAUAAAUAUUUUUAUUUAUUCUUUUAUGGGUAGGGUAAUUUUUACAAUAAUUAAAAUAACUUUUGUACCUUCUUUUGUAAUUAAAUAGUUUUGUAUAGAAAUAUAUUAAUAGAUGUAUCAACAUGACAUCUAGAUUCGAUUUUUUUCAAACUUUUUAAAAUUUUAUAAUAUUAAAAAAUGAUAUUUUUAAUCCAUAAUAUCAAAUUUGUUUUUAAAAAAAAAACAAUAUAAUCAAAAAAAUUAAAUAUAAAAAAGUAAACAAAAAUAUAUAAUAUAUAAUAUAAAUUUUACAAGAAAAGUUUAUUACUAAUAUCGCGUGAUAGCUCAACUUUUUUUUUAUUUUAUUCCAUUCUUUUUUGUUUAUUUAAUUAGAUAAUUUUUUAAGAAAAAAUAAUUUAUUUGUACACAUGUCAUCAUAUUUUCUUUUUUUCUUUUUUUAUUUUUUUAGUCAGAUAAUUGAUAACAAAGACAGUCAAUAAAUUAAUUUUGAAAGAAAAUUUUUAAUAGAGAUAUGGAUAUAAAAUAACCAACAUCCGAUAGGUUUAAUUCGUCUAGAUCUUAUAGGUGUUUUUUUUCUUUGAGAUCAAAUUGAGACUUUUUUACAAAAAAAUUAAGAUAAAGUCAAAGAUGAGUUUAUGAUGUUUUGUUAUACCUUAAUUAUAUAUGUUAAAUUAUAGUUUAAAUUAUUUAUUUAAUUUUAUUUUGAUAUAUGUAUUAUAUUAAUAAAAUUAUUAUUUAAUACCUUAAUUUAAUUAAAGAAAUUAUAUUUAUGCAAAAUUAAGAUACAAUUAAUCCAUUAGAUAAAUUUGAUUUAGUUUUUUUGUUUGAUCUUCAUUUAAAGUCUCAAUGUGUCAUAUUUUUAUUUUCUUUUAACUUCUUAUAGAUUUUUUAUUUUGAUAAAUUUUGCGAAAAAAAAAAUAUAAGCACCUAAGUGAUACCUCAAUUUGUUUUUUUUCUUUCAAUUUUUUUAAUCAAGUAAGUUUUACAAUAAAAUGAGCUGAUUCAUAGCAAUGGCAAAAUAAUUUGUAUAAUACCCUAAUGAGCUUUCCUUUACUUUGUUUAAUUUAUUUUUUAUUUUCAACCCUAAUCUCCUUUUUUUUUUUUUAUGAUUUUCACAUGGCACUCCAUUUGAGUUUGUUUAUAUUUAGUUUCUUUUUUGCAUUUUUUUAAUAAGAUAAUUUUUGCAAUGCAAGUUGCAAAUUUAUAAAUAUGUCAAAACAAUUCUAUCUCUUGAUUCUUGAUUCAUCUUAAUUUUGAUAAAAGGAUGAUUUUCAAAAAUCAAGAUUGAAUUACGAUGAGCUGAAUUUUUUAAAAAAAAGAUAAGAUUAGGUAAGAAGCGUGUUUAUAGUAUUUUGUUACGAUCUAUUUUGAAGUGUUUAUAAUAUAUAUAUAUAUAUAUAUAUUUAGUUACAUAUAUGUAUUCUAUUAGUAAAUUAAUUCUUUUUAUUUUAAUUUAAGAUUUUUUAUUUUAAGUUUAAUAUGAGAUGUCAACGUAUCAUCCUUUAUUUGCUUUUUUUUUCUUUUUAUAACUUAAUUUUAGCUUUUUUUCAACUUUUUUCAUUUACUUUUCUCUCACUUUUUACGUUUUUUUUUUUUGUGUUUUUCAUUUUUUUGGACUAAUUUUACAAGAAAAGUUGAUCAAUUAGGAUAUACACGUUUCAUCUCCAUUUAUUUGUUUCUCAUUUCACUCUAGGGGUUUAGGUUUUUAUUAACAUUUUUUUUCUACUUUUAAUAGUGUUUAUAAACGUCAUUAAAAGAUUUGCGACGUUUGUAAAAAAUACCAAUUAAAGUAUCGGCUAUACACGCGUCAGGGGAAAUAAUGGCGUUUUCUAUAAAAUGCCAUUAUAUUAGAAGCAUUUAUAUAUAGAAAAUGUCACUAUUUUAGUGACGUUUGUAUCUUUAAAAUGUCGUUAAUUUAGUGACAUUUGUAUCAGAAAAACACUGCGAAUAUGGUGGCAUUUAUAUGAUUUAGUGACUUUUUUUUAUAAGAACGUUGCUACUUUUAGUGGCGUUUUAUGGUACAAACACCAUUGAAUUUAGAAUUUAGCAGAAUUCUUAAACACGAACGCCACGAAAUUAAUAAAUUUAAUUUUGUUUUAAUAUUUUUUUGUUAAUAUUUUUUCCUAUUAAUUUUUCCUGUUAAUAAAAACCAACUUAAAUUUUGAAACUAAAAUUAAUAAAUACUUAAUUCAUGAUCAAAUAUGCAUAUAAUUAAUAUAAAGUUUAAUAAUUAAUAUAAUAACAUUCAAAUUGUUUUAAUACAUUAACAAAAAAAAUUAAAAUGUAUGAAAUUGAUGACUGCAUAGAUUUGAAAAAUUACCAAUUGAUGAAGGAAUUUUUUCACCUUGGUCACUAAUAUGCUCAAGAACCUACUCAAUAAUACCAUACAAUUUUUAACACUUAAUAGUAGACUUUUUUAUAUUAAAAAAUAUAAAUAUUUACUAAAUAUAAUACAUGAGUUGGUGGACCCCUGAGAUUAGUUUAUGAAAAUUGUUGUUGCACAAAAUUCAUAAGAUAAUCGAAUCGAUCAUGCAAAUGCUAAAAUUUUGCAUGCUAUUGCUCCAUUCUAACAUGUUCUUCCUUAAAUUUGACACGUUCCUGUUCUCUUUUUGCUUCAAUUUGUUGGAAAACGUUGUUGCAUAGUUUGCAACUCCGAUAUCAACAUCGAAAUGUCUCGUGAAGACUAACUUGCUGAAAAUAUAUAAUUUUGAGAGCUACCCAUAUAUUAAUGGUGUUGACCCAAUCCAACACGCAACCUGUCCAUGCCUUUCUUUUCUAGCAACUUAUGAAUAUUCGAUUAGUAAUCAUGUCUUUUCACUAACCAUAAGCUAUUAAAUUAUUUAUAUGAUACACUACUUUCAAGUUAUAACUAGAUUUAAUUGAUAUAUAUUUUAAAAAAAGUAAAUAUUUACUUUUAUGUUAAAAUAGAUGUUAUAAAUUACCAUAAUUUUUUGUGUUUCAACAUUCAAGUAAGAUCUUUCUUUUUUUUUUAUGUGUGUUAAGUAAAAUAGUUCAACACAUCUAAUUUUACCACCCAUCUUAAUUACUAUACAAAAACAUAUGUUAUUGUUAAAAACAUAUCAACCGUAACUUGUUCAUGCAUAUCAAGGUUGUCAAUCAAGUUCAAAAAUUUCAAACAAUUUUAAUAUCAUGUAUUUAAUCUAUCUAAAUUGUUAAAAUAUAAAUAUAAUAGUAAAAUUAUAUUUUGACCCUUAACAACACAAUAGUCUUAAACAAACGCAAACAAUAAAAGCAUUUUCGCCUUUCACAUAUAUCGAUCAUGGAAACUAAAUUCAAUUAUUUGGACAAGUUUAAUAUCAUGGAUUGAAGCCAUCCAAACUGUUCAAUGCCAUCAAAAAGUUUAAUUUGUAUUUUUUCAUUGUAUAAGCAAAAAUAGUCCUAAAUAGACAUAAAUGAUAACUUUUUCACACAUAUCAACCUUAGAAACCAAGUUCAAUUAAUCGAAUAAGUUUAAUAUCAAGUAUUAAACCUAUGCAAACUGUUAAAAUAGAACAAUAACAAUAAUUUUGUAUUUUUCCUAAAUAAACGUAAACAAUAAUUUUUUCAUACAUAUCAACCGUGUUAACUAAGUUUAAUACUUUCGAUAAAUUUAAUAUCAUGUAUUAAAACUAUCAAAACUAUUAAAAUAGAACAAUAACCGUUAAUUUGCAUAUUUACCUUUUAACAACACAAAAAGUUCAUUCAUUGGAAUAAGUUUAAAAUCAUAAAUCUUACUAUUCUUUUUGCUUUUUUGCAAAACUUUUUGAUCCAUUUGUACGGCUAUAUUUUUAUUACUUUCUACUACCAAUCCUAAUAUGUUCUCUUUCCUGUCAUAAAAAAUAAUUGCGUCUAUAGUAGAUAUACAAAUAUUACCAACUUAAAGCCAUUAAAACACUUUUCAUAUUUCAUUUUACUAUACAAAGUUAAAAAUUAGUAUCUCUCCUUUUCUUAAGAACCAAAAUCUAACUAAUUGUUCAUAUUGCCACCUAAUCACAUUACGGGGUAGAUUUUCCAUCAUCGCCUCUAUAGUAGUAUUUUGAUCAAAAUACUUAUUCUUCAAAUUAUGCUUAUAAUCUUUUCAUUUCUUUCUUAGUGACUUAAGCACAAAUGAAGUUGGUAUUUUAAGUAUAAAUCUUGAUUGUAAUAAUACAAUAAGAGAAGUUUAAAUAAGUAAUAAUAUUUUCAUAUGUAAUUAAUUAUAGUAAUACCUCAAUAAAGUUUAAAGCAUCGGCCUUAACUUCUACUGGAACUUUAUGCCAUGUUUUAUAAUGAAUAGGCAAUUUCAUUCCAUUACGGGCAAGCAUGCCUAGGAAUCCAACCAACAGUUGAGCCUCUUUACCAAUUGAUUGCCUAUCAGAGUUUGCAGACAAUACAAUACGUUCGUUCGGAGGUAGUGCAAAUAAUUCCUUCAAAGUUGUCCAGCCUCUGGUCUUCCAUUGAUCAUUGUUAUCAACUACAAAAAAAAAUCAAUUUGUAAAAUGCCAAUAUUUUAAUCAUUAUAAUCGAAUUUUAAAUAUUGGGUAUAUGAUACCUGAAUUCAAAUUUAAAGCAUAAUUAAUUGACGGGAUACUAUAUAAAUCGAGACCUCUCGUAUUGCCAAAUCUAAUAUAGUUGAAAGGUUAGAAGUGACUGAGUUAGAUCCAACGGUAUGAUCAUUUUCUUUCAAAAGAUUUAGUCCAUAGCCAAUAUCAACAUGUGGCAUAGAUGAUUCUGAACUAAUAUCUCUAAUAUGUAUUCCUUUCAAUCUAUUCUUCUACAUUAUAGCUUACCUGUAUCAUAAAAGUGAAUAUAUAAAAGAUAUUAGUUUAGAACAUUUAUAAAGACAUUGAGAAGUUAAGAAAUCAUAACCUACAAUAUAUAAAAAGCAUAUCGAUUUAAUGAAAUCAAAAGAUAAUGUAUGAUUUACAAUACAAUAAAUAUAUAAUAGCGAAUACAACAUUAAUUACAUACAAGCAUUUACUACAUUAUGUCUUAAACACUAAAAUUACAAAAUAUAGAUGAUCCAUCAUGAUUCAUAAAUAUCUUCAAUAACAUUUUCGUAGACCCACUGAUCGUAGAUACUAAAGAUAUUUUCAUCCAAGUUUUAUUUAGCAAAAAGAUAACAUUCAGUUCCAUGUUCAACAUCAUCUAUAGUAAUUAAUCUCAUAUCAAAUAAGUCUCUAGGUGUAUUUCGAAGAAUAAUAAACCAACCUAAUUUUUUGGGAUUUUUAGAAUAAAAAACUUGUUUGACUUGAGAUGAAAAAAUAUAAGGUUCAUCAAUGAGCUAUUGUCUAGUGUAAAUUAAUAAAAAAAAAAUUCAUAAUUAUAAAUCCAUACUGAUUUUUUUUAAUACCUCUCACACUAUUCACAUUAGCCUAAUCACAGCAAAAUAAGACAACUUUUAACUUGCCAUAAUAGUCCAACUCAAUGAUAUCAUUAAUCAUACCAUAAUAGUUAACAUUUCUCUUUAAAAGGUAACAUUUCUUUUUAAAGGGUUAGUAUCCCUAGCACUCGCAUAGCUAAUAGUUGAUGGAGUAACAACUCCUGAAUUUUGUAUACUUCUAAAUCUUUUACAGGAUUUAGCAUGAAAUCUAAAUCCAUUGAUGAUGAAAUCUUUAUAUCAUUUCACAAUCUUGUUUAGACCUUGUGAAAGAUAGUUCACCUCUUCACUAACGAGCCUUCCACUACAAACCUAUAGAGGUGGAAUAAAUAUAUAUAUGUUAUUAAUGUUAGUUAUACAUAAGCAUUCUAUGUAGAUUUUUCAUAACGAGAAGUAUGACAUUACUUACAGUUGCUCUUAACCAUUCAUGAAAGUUUUCGAUGAACAACUUAUCAAGCUCUCAAGGGUUUGAUCAUUUAUGAUGUGUAAGAGCUCUCAAAUUAUUUUUAUACUCACUACAAAGCAUCAUGAUAAAGUAUUAACAAUAAAAAAUAAUAAAUUAUGCUGUAAUGAAUAAUUUUCUUGCUAAAAAAUUCACGUGCAAAACAAUUCAAUUGAGUCAUGAUGGAAAAAAACAUAUCGAUGUGCUUGAGCCUAAGAUUUAUCAUCUAACUCUAUUAUUUCAGCUUUGCCUAUUAGUUGUCCAAAAGUUUCAAAAAGAUAACUGUAGGCAAAGUCAGUAUGCUACAUACUAAUAUUUCUCGAUAGUCUAUUAAAUCUCGUUUCAACAUCUUUCAAAUAAUGAGAACAAAAUAUCAUACACUCUUUUGCUAAAAAUCUUUCAAUAAUAGAACAUUUCGGAUAGUUUUUGUUGCGAUAAUAAGACUUUAACCUCUCCAAAAACCUACCUAAUAAAAUAUUAGUCAUAUAUCUUUUUAACUAGAGUGGCAUGAUCAUCCAUAACAACCUAAUCAAUCUAUUAACAAAUAAUAUUUUUCGAUAGAAUACAUCUAUCGAUAAUAAACUAGCCCAUCGACUUUUGCUUCAUAUGGAAGGUGGAUAAUCAAAUGCAUCAUAAUAAUGAAAAAGUUUGGAGAAAAAAUCUUCUCUAAAUGGCAUAAAGUAAUCACGACUUGAUCUUGAAGUUUGUUAAGUUCUACCAUAUUCAUACAUUUUUCACAUAGAUAUUUAAAUAUGUUACUUAAUUCAAUUAUCACAGAAGUGACUUGUUUUGACAUUGAUGAAGUAAAGCAAUUAGAAGUAAGUCUUGCAUCAAAAUGUGAUAAUCAUGUGACUUCAAUAAAAAAAGUUUUUACCCCUUUAGAUUCACACAUCUUGAUAUAUUUGACGUAUAGCUAUCCAAAACUUUGACAUUUUUCAAAACCUUGCAAAACACAUCUUUCUUAGCUUUAGAAAUACCAAAACUGGUAAGAGGCAAUCAAUAUUUGCCAUUAAAAAGUAACUUCGGAUGAAGGUCAAGGCGAAUCCCCAUAUCAACUAGGUUAAGUCGACUCUUUAAGUCAUUAUUUGAUAUUCUAUUCACAUUGAGAAUUGUUUUGAUAAAAUUUUCACAAGCAUUUUUCUCUAUGUGCAUCAAAUCAAGGUUAUGACAUAAUAAAUUAUAUUUCCAAUAAGACAACUAAAAAAAAUACUUUUUUUUCACAACUCAGACUCAUUAGGGUCAUUUUUUUCAUUGUCCUAUUCAUCACUUUGAACAUCAAGAUCACCAACUUGAGUAUCAGUAUCACCAACUUGCGUAAUCUGAGGCCAAUUACCUUCAAAGAUUUCCCUUACUCUUUUCUUUGAUGGAGUUUUUUUUUUUUCAUAAGUGAAAUUGAUAUCUUUUAACUUUGAUAAGAUAUUAGAUCCAUUAAUUGGUAAAGGCGAUCUUUUCAACUUUUUAGUUCUAUCAAAGCGAUGUUUUUGAAAUUUAAAUCUAUGAUUAUCAUCUAACCAUCGACGAUGUCCCAUAUAAUAGAACUUUCUACCAUUAGGUAACCACUUCGAACAUGUCUAUGUAGCACAAUAUGGAUAAGCAUAAUGACCUUUUGUACUCUAACCAGAUAAAUUCGCAUAAGUAAAAAAAUUAUUGAUAGUCCAUAAUAAAGUAGCAAGCAUAUUGAAGGUCUCUUUUUUUGAUGCAUCAUAGGUCUUAACUGCUUCCUAUAAUUGUUUUAACUCUAUAAUAAGAGGUUAUAAGUAGAUGUCUAUAUCAUUACCUAGACAUCAUAGGUCUUAACUCCUUCCCAUAAUUGUUUUAACUUUAUAAUAAGAGGUUAUAAGUAGAUGUCUAUAUCAUUACCUAGAGGUUAUAAGUAGAUGUUUAAAUCCAUGAUUAUCAUCUAACCAUCGACGAUGUCCCAUAUAAUAGAACUUUCUACCAUUAGGUAAUCACUUCGAACAUGUCUAUAUAGCACAAUAUGGAUAAGCAUAAUGACCUUUUAUACUCUAAUCAGAUAAAUUCGCAUAAGUAAAAAAAUUAUUGAUAGUCCAUAAUAAAAUAACACACAUAUUGAAGUUCUCUUUUUUUGAUGCAUCAUAGGUCUUAACUCCUUCCCAUAAUUUUUUAACUCUGUAAUAAGAGGUUAUAAGUAGAUGUCUAUAUCAUUACCUAGAUCUUUUUUUCUUAAAAUUAUCAUAGACAAUAUAAAUGAUUGUUUCUUCAUAGCAAUCUAUGGUGGCAAAUUGUAAAGAAUUAAUACAAUAAGUUAAGUACUAUAAGAAGUAUUCAUUAUUUUGAACGGGUUGAAUCCAUUAGAUGCUAGUCCAAGUAUAACAUUUCAAGGAUCAGAUGCAAAGUCUAAAAACCCAGAAUGAAUUGAUUUUCAUGCCAAAAAAUCUACAAGAUGCCUAAAUGAUCCAUCAUUCGUCCACUUUUCAUAAUGCCACCUCAUUAAAUUUGUAGUUUUUAAAGAUAUAAAGAGUCGUUGAAGUCUUAGUAUUAAUGAAAAAUAGCAUAAAACCUUAACAUGCUUCUUUUUUACAUAAACCUUAUCACCAUCUUCAUUCAACCUUUUAUCAAAGUUUUUGUCCACCCAAUGAAAAAUACCACACAAAUGAUAAGAUAUUUUAUUUUUUCUAUCACCCCAAUACAACAUGCAAUCAUUGGGACAACUAUGAAUUUUCUCAUAUCCGAGGCCCAAAUCUUUGAUAUCUUUUUUGAUUCCUUAUAAGAUUCAGAGAUUUUUGUAAAAUAAAAUAUUUUUUUCAUAAACUCUAAUAAUAAAGUCAUAGAGUUUUUCAUCCAUCCACAUAAGCAUUUCAAGUGAAAAAGACAAAUAUAGAAAGAUAACCUUGAAUGCUUCGAUCCCUCAUAAAGUUCUUCAUUCAUAUCUUCAAGCAACUUAUAAAACUUUGAUGCUUCUCCUCUAGGUUGUUAGUCACCUACACCUAUUUCGGGUUUACCAAAUUCAUUCAUUUCAACAUUAAACUAAUUAAAUCCAUCAUUUUAGGGAGAUGGAUUACCAAAAUGUUGCUUAUGAAUGUUAAAAGCAUAUCAUAACAUGCCUUUAAUGUCAUCUAUUAUAAAAUGAUCAUGUUGGUGUUGGGGAGCCCUUAAAAUUGAAGAAACUCUAGUGGAAGACCUUGACGAUAUAAACUUUCCAUGAAAAUAUCAAUUAACAUAUCCUGAAAUAAAUCCAAUACAAAUUAAAUGUUCGAAAACAAUUUCACGGAUUUGUCAAUCAAUAUUAGCACGCUUCACAUAUGGGCAUAAUAUCAUAUUAUCUUCACUUGUAUUCUCAAAUACAAAAUUAAGAAAAAUUUUCACUCCAUCUUUGUGCUAUUGACUUAAUCCUUGACUUUUGUAUCCAACUCAUAUCCAUUUACUACUUGCUACAUUAUCAGAUCAAAUGUAUAUAAAUAAUUUAUAUGAAAAUGAACAUGUAAAAUACUUAAGUUUACUAUAUUUUAAACAAAAGAUAAUAACAAGACUAGUACUUACAGAAGACCAGAACUCCUUAUUGUGAAAUAUUUUCUUAGCCAGUUGAUAUUAAGCAUUUAAAACUUUGUUGCUAACCUAGAUAAUACCCUAGAGUAUUUGUAGUUGGAGUUAAAAUAAGGUAAAACAAGUUCAAAGGAAACUUAGAAAAAUAAGAAAAUGAAAGGAAAAGAAAAGUGGAUGAUAAGUUCCAAAUAGGUAUUUUAGGAAUGUGGGUUUUAGAGAAAAUUUUUAAACCGAAAAAAAUAUUACGAAUAGCAAAAGCUAAAGAAAUAGUAGAAUGAAGCAAAUGCUAAAGUAAAUAACCAAUGAAUAGUCAAAAUAGGGUUCUAAAGGACAAAGCUCGAAUACUAAGAGUUAAAGGAAAAGGAAAGUAAUUUGUAGUUGGCCUGAAAAGAGAAAUAAUACAAUAAUGAAGAUGAAGCUUGAAGUUGGUGAUUAGAUGCUCUAAGUUUGGGGACAAUUUAAUUGGACCAGAUUAUUGAAGGUGUUUACUAAGAAAAAUACAUUUAAUAAUUUCCUCUUAGAUCUAUAUUAUAGGCAUCUUUAAUAUUCUCAUAGUAAAAUCUUAAGCGAUUAUUAAAGGCAUUUUUACCCAAAAAAUGCCUUCACUAAUUUUCUCUAAUUUUUAUGGUGUAUUUAAUAUUCUCGUAAUAAAAUUUUAAGCGAUUAUUAAAGAUGUUUUUGCCCGAAAAAUACCUUCACUAAUUUUAUCUAAUUUUUAUGAUGUAUUUAUUGAAGGUAUUUUUUGCAUAAUACGCCUUCAAUAAUUUUAUUUUAAAAAUUAUUUGAGAUUAUUAAAGGCAUCUUCUAGUAGAAAACAACUUUAAUAUUUCACUACUAAAAUUUUUAGACGGUUAUUGAAGGCUUUUUUUCUAAAAAAAUACCUUCACUAAUUUGUUCUAAUUUUUGAAAGAACUUAUUGAAGGCGUUUUUUGCAUUAUACACCUUCAAUAAUUUUUAUCCAAAAUUAUUGAUGACAUUUUAUGAGAAAAAAUACCUUCAAUAGUAUUUUUUUUAAAAUUGUUUGGGAUUAUUAAAGGCAUCUUAUAGUAAAAAAUGCCUUUGAUAUUCCACUAGAAAAAUUUUUAGAUGGUUAUUGAAUGCAUUUAUUCCAAGAAAACACCUUCGCUAAUUCGUUUUAAUUUUUGAAGUAAUUUAUUAAAGACGUUUUUUGCAUAAUACGCCUUUAAUGGUUUUUGUAGAGAAUUAGUAAAUGCAUUUCUUGAUGCAAAACACCUUCAAUAAUUUUAUUUUAAAAAUUAUUUAGGAUUAUCAAAUAUGUCUUUUAGUAGAAAACACCUUCAAUAUUUUCACUACUAAAAUUGUGUGAACGAUUAUUGAAGGCGUUUAUUCUAGAAAAAUGCUUUCACUAAUUCGUUUUAAUUUUUGAAAGAAUUUAUUGAAGGCAUUUUUUGCAUUAUACGCCUUCAAUAAUUUUUGUUCAAAAUUAUUAAUGGCAUUUUAUGAGAAAAAUACCUUCAAUAAAUUUUUUUUAUAAAUUAUUUAGGAUUAUUAAAAGCGUCUUCUAAUAAAAAAUACCUUUAAUAUUUCACAAAUAAAAUUUUUAGAUGGUUAUUGAAGGCAUUUAUUCCAGGAAAACCCAUUCAUUAAUUUGUUUUAAUUUUUAAACUAAUUUAUUGAAUGUGUUUUUUGCAUUAUACACCUUCAAUAAUUUUAUUUUAAAAAUUGUUUAAGAUUAUUAAAGCCAUCUUCUAGUAGAAAAUGCCUUCAAUAUUUCACUACUAAAAUUUUGUAAAUGGUUAUUGAAGAUGUUUAUUCUAGAAAAAUACCUUCACUAAUUCGUUUUAAUUUUUGAAAGAAGUUAUUGAAAUUGUUUUUUGCAUUAUACACCUUUAAUAAUUUUUGUCCAGAAUUAUUAUUGGCAUUUUAUGAGAAAAAAUACCUUUAAUAAUUUUCUUUUAUAAAUUGUUUGAGAUUAAAGGCAUAUUCUAGUAGAAAACGCCUUCGAUAUUCUGCUAGUAAAAUUUUUAGAUGGUUAUUGAAGGCGUUUAUUCUAGAAAAAUACCUUCACUAAUUCGUUAUAAUUUUUGAAGUAAUUUAUUAAAGGCAUUUUUGCAUUAUACGUCUUCAAUAAUUUUUGUAGAGAAUUAUUGAAGGUAUUUUUUGAUGCAAAAUACCUUCAAUAAUUUUAUUUUAAAAAUUAUUUGAGAUUAUUAAAGACGUUUUCUAGUAAAAAUCGCCUUCAAUAUUCCACUACUUUAAUUUUGUGAAUGGUUAUUGAAGGUGUUUAUUCCAAAAAGAUGCCUUCACUAAUUCAUUUUUAUUUUUGAAAGAAUUUAUUGAAGGCAUUUUUUGCAUUAUAUGCCUUCAAUUAUUUUCGUUCAGAAUUAUUGAUGGCAUUUUAUGAGAAAAAAUACCUUCAAUAAUUUUCUUUUAUAAAUUGUUUGGGAUUAUUAAAGACGUCUUCUAGUAGAAAAACGCCUUCGAUAUUCCAUUAGUAAAAUUUUUAGAUGGUUAUUGAUGAUGUUUAUUCCAGGAAACGCCUUCACUAAUUCGUUCUAAUUUUUGAAAUAAUUUAUUGAAGGUAUUUUUUGCAUUAUAUGCCUUCAAUAAUUCUCUACAAGAAUUAUUGAAGGCAUUCCUUGAUGCAAAAUACCUUCAAUAAUUUCAUUUUAAAAAUUUUUUGAGAUUAUUAAAAGCGUAUUCUAGUAGAAAACAUAUUCAAUAUUUCACUACUAUAAUUUUAUAAACGGUUAUUGAAGGCGUUUAUUCCAAAAAUUGCAUUCAGUAAUUCGUUUUAAUUUUUGAAGGAAUUUAUUGAAUGCGNNNNNNNNNNNNNNNNNNNNNNNNNNNNNNNNNNNNNNNNNNNNNNNNNNNNNNNNNNNNNNNNNNNNNNNNNNNNNNNNNNNNNNNNNNNNNNNNNNNNNNNNNNNNNNNNNNNNNNNNNNNNNNNNNNNNNNNNNNNNNNNNNNNNNNNNNNNNNNNNNNNNNNNNNNNNNNNNNNNNNNNNNNNNNNNNNNNNNNNNNNNNNNNNNNNNNNNNNNNNNNNNNNNNNNNNNNNNNNNNNNNNNNNNNNNNNNNNNNNNNNNNNNNNNNNNNNNNNNNNNNNNNNNNNNNNNNNNNNNNNNNNNNNNNNNNNNNNNNNNNNNNNNNNNNNNNNNNNNNNNNNNNNNNNNNNNNNNNNNNNNNNNNNNNNNNNNNNNNNNNNNNNNNNNNNNNNNNNNNNNNNNNNNNNNNNNNNNNNNNNNNNNNNNNNNNNNNNNNNNNNNNNNNNNNNNNNNNNNNNNNNNNNNNNNNNNNNNNNNNNNNNNNNNNNNNNNNNNNNNNNNNNNNNNNNNNNNNNNNNNNNNNNNNNNNNNNNNNNNNNNNNNNNNNNNNNNNNNNNNNNNNNNNNNNNNNNNNNNNNNNNNNNNNNNNNNNNNNNNNNNNNNNNNNNNNNNNNNNNNNNNNNNNNNNNNNNNNNNNNNNNNNNNNNNNNNNNNNNNNNNNNNNNNNNNNNNNNNNNNNNNNNNNNNNNNNNNNNNNNNNNNNNNNNNNNNNNNNNNNNNNNNNNNNNNNNNNNNNNNNNNNNNNNNNNNNNNNNNNNNNNNNNNNNNNNNNNNNNNNNNNNNNNNNNNNNNNNNNNNNNNNNNNNNNNNNNNNNNNNNNNNNNNNNNNNNNNNNNNNNNNNNNNNNNNNNNNNNNNNNNNNNNNNNNNNNNNNNNNNNNNNNNNNNNNNNNNNNNNNNNNNNNNNNNNNNNNNNNNNNNNNNNNNNNNNNNNNNNNNNNNNNNNNNNNNNNNNNNNNNNNNNNNNNNNNNNNNNNNNNNNNNNNNNNNNNNNNNNNNAUCUGCAAUAACAAUUUUCUUGUUACUAGGACAUAGGUAUAUGUGUGGAAACUGAAUGUAUAUUGAAAAACUGCUUAUCUACAAUUAUACAAGAAUCUUAGGUUUAUAUACAACUAACUAGGGGUUAAACUAGGAAACUAAAUCUUCCUUAAUUCUAGGGAUACAAAUACUUAAUUCUAGAGAUACAAAUAUAAAUAUACAGAUUACAAGAUUACAACCAGCUGUAAAUAAGUGUUUUCCCACACUCCCCCUCAAGCUGGUGAAUAGGUGUUUUCCAUUCCCAGCUUGGAAAUAAUUUCUUGAAAUGUUGCACUGCUGAGACCUUUAGUCAACACAUCUGCAAGUUGACCCUUGGUUGAUACAUAAGGUGUACAAAUCAACCCACUGUCUAGUUUCUCCUUUAUGAAAUGCCGGUCUACUUCAAUGUGUUUUGUUCUGUCAUGUUGCACAGGAUUGUGUGCAAUGCUUAUUGCAGACUUGUUAUCACAGUAGAGUCUCAUUGGUCCUUCCCACUUGAUCUUCAAGUCUUCUAGGAUAAUCUUUAACCAUAGUAGUUCACAAAUUCCUUGAGCCAUUGCUCUGACUCUGCUUCAGCACUUGAUCUUGCCACCACAUUCUGUUUUUUACUCCUCAAGUCACAAGAUUACCACCUAAGAAAGUACAGUAGCUUGAGGUGGAUCUUCUAUCAGUUACUGAACCUGCAUAAUCAACAUCUGUAUAGGCUUCUAGAACUAACCCCGAAUCUCUUUUGAAUAAGAUACCUCUCCCAGGAUUGGCCUUCAAAUAGUGCAAUAUACGGUAAAUAACCUGUAGGUGCACUUCUUUAGGACUAUGCAUAAAUUGACUUACUACACUCACAACAUAUGCUAUAUUAGGUCUAGUAUGUGAGAGAUAAAUGUCUUCCAACUAAUCUUUGGUACAUCUCUCUAUUUACAGCAGCAUCUUCAUUAGCUUCUCCAAUUUUAUGAUUAGGAUCUAUAGGGGUAUUUGCAGGUUUACAUGCAAGCUUCCCAGUUUCCUUAAGAAGAUCCAUUACAUAUUUCUGUUGUGAGAUAAAAAUACCAUGCCGUGAGUGAGCUACUUCAAUUCCUAGGAAGUACUUCAAUCUCCCUAGCUCUUUUAUCUCAAAUUCUCUAGCCAAACACUGUUUUAGAGAUUCUCUCUCUUUUUUAUCAUCUCCAGUUACAAUUAUAUCAUCAACAUACACUAAUAGAACUGUGACUCUCUCUGAAUCAUAGUGCUUGAUAAACAAUGUGUGAUCUCCUUGAGUCUGUUUAUAUCCCAUUGCUAGCAUCACUUUGGCAAAUCUCCCGAACCAAGCUCUAAGAGACUGUUUAAGGCCAUAUAAAGCUUUUUUUAACCUGCAUACUUUGUUUGCUUCUAGAUGACCUCCAAAUCCCGGUGGAACCUUCAUAUAUAUUUCUUCUUCCAAAUCACCAUGUAAAAAAGCAUUCUUUACAUCAAAUUGUUGAAGAUGCCAAUUGUAAUUUGCAGCUAAUGAUAACAAAAUCCUAACUGUAUUCAUCUUGGCAACUGGAGCAAAGGUUUCCUGGUAAUCCACUCCAUAGGUCUGAGUGUAGCCCUUAGCCACUAACCUGGCUUUAUACCUUUCAACAGUACCAUCUGCCUUGUAUUUUACAGUGAAAAUCCAUUUACACCCCACUGGAUUUUUUCCUUUAGGCAACUCUACCAGUUCCCAUGUCUGAUUUUUCUCUAAGGCCUCCAUUUUUAUUUUCAUGGCUUGCCUCCAUUUCUCACUGGAUAAUGCCUCGGAUAAUGUAGUUGGAACAGAAAUAGUGUCUAGGCUCACAAGAAAAUUUUUGUGGGAUGGUGAGAAUUUUUCAAAUGACACAAAAUUAGAUAUUGGGUAUAGUGGAUGCUUGGUACAUUCUCUGGUUCCUUUCCUAAUGGCAAUAGGCAAAUCAUAAUCACUAGUUAUAGUUUUAGGAGAUUCAUGCUCAUUUUGAGAAACAGAGUCAAAAACUGUAGUUACCUCAUUUUCAGAGUUAGGAUCAGGUUUUUGGACUGGCACUGGUUCAGGAUCUGAAACUUUCCUUCUUGAGUACACCUGUAAUUCCUUCGUGGAAUCAAGAACAAUAUUAUCCUUUGUCACAUCUUCCGUAUUUGGAAUCGGUUCAGACUCAAAUUCAAUGUUUGACUUGGGCUCAGCAGAAACAGGUUUCGACUCAUAAGAAUUAAUGGGGGUAAAUGUUGAAGAAGGGGGCAAAUCAAGCAAAAAGAAGUCUUUAUCCUUAUCUUCCAUGAAUGAAGUCUCCCCUUGAAGAUAAGGUUGAGUAAAAAAUGGUUUAUUUUCUUCAAAAGUGACAUCUGCAGACACAAAAUUUUUUGGUAGGAGGAUGAUAGCACUUAUAUCCUUUUUGAGUUGAAGAAUACCCCACAAAAAUACACUUAAUCGCUCUUGGAUCCAACUUUCCCCUGUUAUGACUGUGAACAUGAACAAAUGAUGUACAACCAAAUAUCCUAGGUGUGAGAUUGUUUGUGGUAUUGAGGUUGGGAUAAAAUUGUGAGAGUAGUUCCAUAGGAGUUUUAAAUCCCAAAACUCUUGAAGGUAACCUAUUUAUAAUGUGUGUGGCAGUGAGAACAGCUUCCCCCCAAUAAGAUUUAGGUACAUUUGCUUGAAAAAGAAAGGCUCUGGUUGUGGCUAAUAAAUGACUGUUUUUUCUCUCUGCCACUCCAUUCUGCUGUGGAGUAUUAACACAAGAUGACUCAUGGAUAAUCCCCUCUUUUUGAAAAUAGGUGGAUAGACUCUGGUUGAAGUAGUCUUUUGCAUUAUCAGACCUAAAUCUCUUGAUUCUUACUCCAAAUUGAUUUUGGAUCAUGUUUUGGAAGCUUAAAAACACACUAUUCACAUCUGAUUUGGAUUUAAGUAAAAAAACCCAAGAGACCCUAGUACAAUCAUCUAUGAAUGAAACAAACCAUCUCGCACCAGAAAUAUUAAGAAUUGUAGAGGGACCCCAAAUGUCACUAUGAAUCAAGUAAAAAGGAGUAGAACUUCUUUUGUUACUGAUUGGAAAAGACACACGUCUAUGUUUUGCAAAUUCGCAAAUAUCACAAUGAAAAUCUUCAACAUUUAAUUCUUUGAACAAAGAAGGAAACAUGUUUCUCAAGGUUCCAAAAGAAGGAUGUCCAAGACGAAAAUGAUAAAGCCAGAUUUUGUCUUUAUUGGAAGAUUUUUCAGAAAGAAAUGACAAAGGUAAACUAUUUUUGAUACUACUUGUGUUAUUCGAUGUCUCAAGAUAGUAUAGUCCAUCCUUCUCCUUAGCAAGUCCAAUCAUCUUCCCCGAACUCUGGUCCUGAAAUUCACAAUAAGAGGGAUAAAAAGUUUCUUUGCAAUUCAUAUCUCUGGUAAGUUUUUGUAUAGAUAUCAGAUUAGUAGACAAUCCAGGAACAUGAAGAACAUUUUUGAGAACAAACGAGGGAUUAACUUGAACGUCUCCUAAUCCUGCCACUGUGGUAAGUGAACCAUCAGCAACAACAAUUUUCUUAUUACUAGGACACAGGUUAUAUGUACUAAACUUUUGUGGGGAAUGUGUCAUGUGGUCUGUGGCUCCUGAGUCAAUGACCCAAGAAUUCGUAAUAGGCUUAGCCGAGACAUUUAAUCCAUGAGAACCGGAAGCUUUACCUGAACUAGAAACUUUACCCAAAGAACAUACCAUAGUAGGCUUUUCAAGGAUUUUCAAUAAGUUUCUCAGCUUUUCAAUCUCUUCCCUGUUGAACUCUCCUUGUUUCUGAGACAUCUGUAGUACUCCAGUGAUUUUUCCAGUUAACAUUUCCUCAAAUUGGUGAUAGUGAUAUCUUUCUUUGAAAGGGUUCGGCAAUGAAGGCCUAAACAGGAUUCGGCAAUGAAGGCCUAAAAAAGUCGGCAAUGAAGGCUGAAAAUUUUUCUUCCCAAGAAGAGCCUAAAGCUCUGAUACCAUGUGGAAACUGAAUGUAUAUUGAAAAACUGCUUAUCUACAAUUAUACAAGAAUCUUAGGUUUAUAUACAACCAACUAGGGGUUAAACUAGGAAACUAAAUCUUUCUUAAUUCUAGGGAUACAAAUACUUAAUUCUAGAGAUACAAAUAUAAAUAUACAGAUUACAAGAUUACAACCAGCUGUAAAUAAGUGUUUUCCCACAAUAUGUACUAAACUUCUCUGAGGAAUGUAUCAUAUGGUCUGUGGUUCCUGAGUCAAUAACCCAAGAACUCGUAAUAGGCUUAACCGAGACAUUUAAUCGAUGAAAAUUGGAGACUUUACUUGAACUUGAGACCUUACCCAAGGAACAUACCUCAGUAGGCUUUUCAAGGGUUUUCAAUAGGUUUCUCAAUUUUGCAAUCUCUUUUUUGUCCAACUUACCUUGUUCCCAAGACUUUUGUAGUACUCUGGUGGUUUUAUCAAUUGACACUUCCUCAAAUCGGGUGGUAGUGAUAGCAGAUUUUGUUAUAUUUGACAUUGCUAUCUUUUUUUGAACUAAAACAAGUUUUAAGAUAUAACCAGAAAUGAAUCUUAGUAAUGAAGGCUAAAGAAGGGAAAAAUAAAAUGGCUAUGAAGGCCUAAAAUAGAAAGUUAGCAAUGAAGGGUGAAAAUUUUGCUUCCCAAGAAGAGCCUAAAGCUUUGAUAACAUGUGGAAAAACUAAAAAGUAAAGCUGUGUGGAAAACUAAGAGUAAAACCGAAUGUAUAUUGAAAAACUUCUCUUAAGAAUUAUACAAGUACCUUAGGUCUAUAUACAACUAACUAGUGGGUAAACUAGGAAACUAAAUCUUCCUAAAACUGAUCCUAUAAUUGAGGGAUUUUCUAUCCUAAUUUUUUGUCCUUAAUUCUAGAGAUACAAAUAUAAAUAUAUAAAUUACAAGAUUACAACCAGCUGUAAAUAAGUGUACUCUCACAAUUUUGUUUUUCCAUAAACCUAUUUCAAGAAGAGAGAUAGUCAGUUGCCCAUACUUAUCCAUAUUAGCUUAGAAUGUGAAAUUUUUAUUUGAAAAGUAUUUUUCACUAUUUUUCUGAAUGUUCUCAUUUUUUCUUAUGAUUAAAGUUUGAACACUACUAGUAGAGGGUUAUAUUGCUAUCUUGCUUCCAAGAUAAUAUCCUUUUGUUUUAAUUUUUAAGUUUUACUGGAAAUGUUUAUCAAACGCUGAUCUUCGUUUGUCUCUCAUGUUUUUCUGCAUGGUGUUUAUCUUUUCUUUCAUAUGAACAAUUCUUUGUGUUAGGUUGGUUAUCCUUUGGUGACUCUUCUUCUAUGCCUUGGUGAUCCUCAAAUAUUCGACAACAACUUAAGCUCUCACAUGGAGCAACUCUACAAGCUUUUACGUGUAAGUUUACUUUUUUUUUUUCAUCUAUAUAUUGUCUGGGCCCUGGGGGAUGGACAGAUCAUGCAUACAAUGGUCACCUGGUUGAUUUUCCCAACUCCUCUUAGGCUUUUACCUGCUGUUUUUUUUCUGGGGGCUCUUCCCUCUGAUCAUAUUUUCAAGUUCCCAUUUCAACUGUCCUCAUAACAAUGCAUCUGGUGAUAUUUAUGCAGGACAAGAAUCAUCGUUUCAUGGCUUUGGACUGUCUUCAUAGAGUUUUGAGAUUCUACUUGAGUGUUCAUGCAGCUAAUCAACCCCCAAAUUGUAUAUGGGAUUACCUUGAUAGUGUAACCUCUCAACUGUUAACAGUUUUGAGGAAAGGAAUGCUCACUCAGGAUGUACAACAUGAUAAACUUGUCGAAUUCUGUGUGACUAUAGCAGAACAUAACCUUGAUUUUGCAAUGAACCAUAUGCUCUUGGAAUUGCUGAAGCAAGAUAGUCCAAGUGAAGCAAAAGUUAUUGGUUUACGUGCUUUGCUUGCAAUUGUUAUGUCACCUUCAAGCCAACAUGUUGGCUUGGAAAUAUUUAAAGGUAAUUGAUAACUGGUCGUAUAACACAAAUAAUUGUCACAUGAUUUCAUACCAAUCAUUAAACCAUUAUGUUGAAUGCGCAGGUCAUGAUAUUGGUCACUAUAUACCAAAAGUAAAGGCUGCAAUUGAGUUAAUAUUAAGGUCUUGCAAUAGGACCUAUAGCCAGGCUCUUCUGACUUCUUCAAGGACCACAAUAGGUAAUUCCUUCUCUAAAAUCUUGUUGAUGUAGAAUCAGUAUUAAAUUAGCUUAAAUUUGGUUUCUGAUCACAUGAAUACAAAAGGACAAAGAAAGCUUAAAUUUGUGUACUUAACAUGUAGUUUAUUUCUUUGUGGAUCAAUCUAGCGCUUAUGUUCCAAGUUUUGUUGGCUGUUAAGGUAAAAAUAUUUGAAUGCAUAGUAAUGUCUAAAUAACAAUUCCCUGCUAAAUUAUUGUUACUUUUAAAAAUUUAUUUGUUGUACGAUUGGGUUAAAGACAUCCAAAUCUUGAACUGUGGCAGUUGUCUGUGAAUCAAGCCUCAGCUCAAUCUGACGCAGCAAUCAAUCAUGUAUGAAACUGAAUUGAAGUCACUGAAUUUUGUUUCCCUAGGAAAAAAAUAGACAUGAGGAUAUGCCUUAGUGUGAUUGCUAGACUGAUUUGUGCUCAAACAAAUGACCUCAACCAAGCCGACCUAAGACAGCUUGAAUCUGUCUAACAAAUAUGACCGUUUACUCAUUUUUUAGGUUUUUCUUUUUGGACUUAUUUUUCUUCAGUCUUUCUCUGUCAUAAGCAAUUUAUGCAUUAGAUAUGCCAGAGAAAGCUUAAUUAUGCCUAAGCUAUGCAAGAGAACUUAUGUUGGACGAUAUUAUGGCAGAGUCAGAAAAAAGAAAGGAAAAUGGUUAUUUUCAGGUAGAAAACAGAAGAAAUUAGAGAUGGCCAAUGUUAUGUCAUGCAUAAGACUGAAAGAAUCAAAGACUAUAUAAUACAGUCAAGUGAUUUCUUUUUUUCUUUUUUUGUAGUCCAGUAUCUUUAUCACCUACUUAGCAAUGGUUGAAGACUUUCUUUCUCUAUUUGUAGAUGAAUUUAGAAUGGGAAAUUUUAAAUCUGGAGAUGGGAUAAAAUAUUAUUGGUAUAUAUAUAUUUUACCAGACUACCUGCUGAUGUUUCUGACUAUGAUAUACCUGCUGGAAAGAUUGUAUUGUAGAAAGAAGUGUUAAUUCUGUUAUUCUUCUGCUCAUAUGCUGUGAAUCAAAUAUCUCCAUUUUUCAUUUUUUUCUCUGGGCAUCUGUUGAGCAUUUUCAUUAUUGAAUUACUUGCUUCAAGAUCUAUUGCUGCUAUGAAUGCUAGGUUUGCCCUUUUAACUUCUAUUUUCCCCUUAUCUGGAUGCAAUGGCACUUGCUAUAUGAAUUCUUUGCUUUCCAGAUGCUGUAACCAAGGAAAAGUCUCAAGGAUAUUUGUUCCGGUCAGUGCUGAAGUGCAUUCCUUACCUGAUUGAAGAAGUUGGCCGAAGUGAUAAAAUAACUGAAAUAAUACCUCAACAUGGGAUAAGCAUUGAUCCUGGUGUUCGUGAGGAAGCAGCUCAGGUACUGAACCGGAUUGUAAGGUACCUUCCUCAUCGUCGCUUUGCAGUUAUGAGAGGGAUGGCGAACUUUGUCCUCCGAUUACCUGAUGAGUUCCCUCUUCUGAUCCAAACGUCAUUGGGGCGACUGUUAGAACUUAUGCGUUCUUGGAGAGCUUGUCUGAUUGAUGAUAAACUAGAACAAGAUGCUCAAGAUGCAAAGCGUAUGGUGCAGCAAUACAAUGGAUUCAAGAAGUCUUAUUUCCGUCAACCCGGGGAAACUAUUGAAUUUCAUGCGUCAGAGAUUGAUGCAGUUGGUCUUAUCUUUCUUAGCUCCGUGGAUAGCCAGAUCCGUCACACAGCAUUGGAGUUAUUGCGCUGUGUACGUGCCUUAAGGAAUGACAUACAAGACCUGACACUUCGUGAGCAACCAGAUCAUAAUAUAAGAUAUGAGGCUGAGCCCAUAUUUAUAAUUGAUGUGCUGGAAGAACAUGGGGUGGGAUAUAUUUAGUUUAUGAUUCCCUUUAUAUUACUUAUUCUAUUUAAUUUCUCUAUGAAGUGCAAUGUGUUUUGAACUUAAGCUAAAUAUUGCAGGAUGACAUAGUUCAGAGUUGUUACUGGGACUCUGGUCGUCUGUUUGAUUACAGACGAGAAUCUGAUGCAAUUCCUCCUGAAGUGACUCUUCAGUCUAUAAUAUUUGAGAGUCCUGAUAAGAACAGGUGGGCUAGGUGUCUUAGUGAGCUCGUCAAAUAUGCAGCUGAACUUUGCCCAAGCUCAGUUCAAGAUGCAAAGUAGGUACAAUAAGAUAACUACGAAUAAUUGUUACAUGUCUUUGCCCAGGAAUAUGUGUUGUAUAAUGUCAUUGUAUUUUGCCUAGAACUGCUCAGAUGUUCUCUUGAUAAGUACUAUUAUCAAUAAAUGAAACCAGGGUUGGAAGAAUGUGACAGACCAUGUCUAUGGUCUGUACAAUAUGGGGUUCUGUGGGGUCUUAUUUUGUCAUUGUUCAGCAAAUAAACAUGCAUACUUCAGUGGUUGUUCAUUGAUGGUAGCUUUAUUUCUGUUAAAUCAGCUAAUUACUUGAUGGUUAAUUUGGCAUUAAUGUGAUUUCCUUUUGAAAAUGUAAAAGUUAGCAACAAGUAAUUGGUUAGCAUAGAGUUCAGUGAACAUUGAUUGUCCUCGGAAACUGCUUUCAGCCUUUUCCAUCUUUGGUUCCAAAAUGGGAAUAAAAGGGGAUGGAAAUUAUUUCCCAAUUGCUUUCAUACAAAUUAUCCAGGUUAAUUAGUUUAACUCUAAUGAAUCCAUGGAUCCUCUUCUAACCCAUUCUCACUUGGCAGGGUGGAGGUUUUGCAACGUCUUGCUCAUAUUACACCUUCAGAGUUAGGUGGAAAAGCUCAUCAGUCACAAGAUGUAGAUAACAAACUGGAUCAGUGGCUCAUGUAUGCAAUGUUUGUAUGUUCAUGUCCACCAGAUAGUAGAGAAGCUGGAAGCAUAGCUGCAACAAGAGAACUUUACCAUCUUAUUUUCCCCUCUCUGAAAUCUGGAUCAGAAGCACACGUAGUAAGUACUUGCUAACGAGAUCAUUCCACUUUAUUAGAGUUGAAUAAAUGAUUUGAGUACACUAAUCAUGAGACACUGUUUCUCCUAGAACAUGAGAAAUAGGCUGAAGUGCCAUCUGUAUGCUUUUGCUUGUAAUACAGUGUCCAAUGGCUUCCUCAUUCAAUUGUGCAUACUGUUUCUUUUGGAUUGUGAUUUACCAACAUUAAUGACUACAAUUGACUGUCAGUUCCUUCGUAGGUUUUUCAUGUUUGAAAGAACUAUAGAAGAUUCAAGGAGAAUGGGGGAUGGUAAACAGAUGUUAUACGAACUAGGUUGGGUAAUUUUGAAUUCUGUUUAAUUCUUUUCUUUCAAUUUGAAAAGCUGUGCUGGUAGAUCCAUCCAAAUUCAGAAGUUUUGAAGUCAAUCCCAAUUGAGAACUUUUUAUUAUACAUUCAAAGAAUUUGAAGGAAUUCUAGGAGGUUCUUAAUGCUCUUUCAUGGUUGCUGCAUUGGGUACCUUGAACUAAUGUGUCUUUACUAAAUACAUUUAGCUACCUGCUUGCAAGUAUUAACUUGUGUCUGAAACAACGAACCUGAAGUUUGCAUUGUCUUUUUCUUGAUUCUUAUUGGAGAUGACAAAUUGCUUAGGUUUUCUUCAGAGUUAGGGUUACUUUUUUAACUCUUGAUGGGAAGCAACUUGAGAAUAUGCCUAGUAUUUAUGGCUAAAAAUGUUGUUUGCUGAGUACCGCCAUAUAUCCAUAUUAAAAUACAUACUUGGAUGAUAUGUACUUAUAUUUAUAGAUGAUGGAUGCAUAGAUAUGUCUCCAAUUGAGUGCACUGGGGCUUGAAAGUUCAAAUACAUAUGAGUGAAUAAAUUUUAGUAGCUAAUUGCUCUCUCUCUCUGUUGCUUUCCACACACACACACACACACACACACAUAUAUAUAUAAAGUUUUUUUCUACGCCUUUUGCUUUCUCCAUUGUUGUAUUGGGUGUAUCUUGGGGGGGGGGGGGGGGGGGGGGGUUCAAGGUUUUAAGAGGUGGAACCUGAAAUCAGCUUAAUAUCAAUAGUCUGACUCUUUGAGGUAAGGUAUAAAUCAGUCUAUAAUGUUCUCUUUUCUAUCUUUGUUACUCUAUAUGAUUCUAAGUUUGUUUUGAGUGCUGAAAUUGGUUUGUUUUCCUAAUAAUUUAAGCAUGCUGCCACCAUGGCUCUUGGGCACUCACACCUGGAAUCUUGUGAGAUAAUGUUCAGUGAACUCACAUCUUUUGUGGAUGAGGUUUCUUCUGAAACAGACGGAAAACCAAAGUGGAAGGUAAUUCUAUUAUCUACGCACUUCCAAUACAUCUUUGAUUAUGUUUGGUUCAUUUCAUGGAGGUUAAUUGUUUUUUUGACCUCUUUCUGAAGAUUUCACCAGGAGUAUUCUUUUCCUUUUUUUUUUUGUUUUUUUUUUGAAGUGAUGCUAUUUUAAGGUAAAGUUCCAUCAGCUUGGGCUGAAUGAAAUUUAUUUUCAUCCUAAUGACAUGAACAAAAGAUUAAUUCUUGUUUUAUGAAUAGUUAGAUUGAUUCCAAAUAUUUGCACUCAUCCUUUGGUUGCAGAGUCAAAAACAGACACGCCGUGAGGAUCUUCGAGUUCAUAUUGCCAAUAUUUAUCGCACUGUUGCCGAGAACAUCUGGCCAGGAUUCUUGGGCCGAAAGCCUGUGUUCCGUCGUCAUUAUUUAAGGUUUAUUGAAGACACAACUAAACAGAUUGCACCAUUAUCUGCUGAGAGCUUCCAAGAAACACAAUCACUCCGCUAUGCACUUGCUUCUGUGUUAAAGUCUCUGGCCCCUGAAUUUGUGGAUUCAAAAUCAGAGCGAUUUGAUCUUAGAAAUAGGAAGAAACUAUUUGAUCUUCUUCUAUCCUGGUGCGAUGACACAGGAAGUAUUACAUGGGGACAGGAUGGUGUUAGUGACUAUCGACGUGAAGUUGAACGGUACAAGACUUCACAGCAGAGGUCAAAAGAUUCUGUGGACAAACUUUCAUUUGACAAAGAAUUGAGUGAACAAAUUGAGGCAAUCCAGUGGGCCUCUAUGACUGCAAUGGCUUCGCUUUUGUAUGGGCCUUGUUUUGAUGACAACGCAAGAAAAAUGACUGGCAGGGUUAUAUUUUGGAUUAAUAGUUUGUUCAAUGAGCCUCCACCUAAGGCCCCAUAUGGUUACUCACCAGUUGACCCAAGAACCCCAUCUUAUUCCAAGUACACAGGAGAAGGACGUGGAGCUGCUGGUCGUGAUAGGAAUAAAGGUGGCCAUCAUCGCGUUGCUUUAGCAAAAUUAGCUUUGAAAAAUCUUCUUCUUACAAAUUUGGAUCUGUUUCCUGCUUGCAUUGAUCAGGUAUGUCACUUGAUAUAGGUAACAUUCGCCUGACAAACAAAAGAUGCAUUUACAACUAUUAAGUGAAUGCAUGAUUAUUGGAUCUGUUGUAUCCCAGUUAUAAAAGAACAUUUGAAGCUUCUAAUUAGUUGUAGUCAGAUGAUGCCUAUGCCAAGUUUACAAAUGUUGUAAGCAAAAAAAAAUGAAGAAUGAAGUUGAUAAGAAUUUUAUCCUUCAAUAAUUAUCUUAAAUAAAAAUUUUAAAAUCUUUUUCCUAUUUAUUUAACUUUCAAAGUUGUGUAGUUUUUAUUUGUAUCCCAACUUCUUGUGGUUUACUAAACUUUGGGCUUCUUCCUGUCUUUUAUGUUUCUCUUAAGUUGGUUUGUGGAAUGCUGCAUUGUUCUUUUUUUAUGCAAGGCACUAAUUAACACUUAUGAUUUUCAGUGCUAUUACUCUGACCCUGCUAUAGCCGAUGGUUACUUCAGUGUACUGGCUGAGGUCUACAUGCGGCAAGAGAUACCAAAAUGUGAAAUUCAAAGGCUCUUGAGUCUGAUCCUAUACAAGGUAGUGGACCCAUCUAGACAUAUCCGUGAUGAUGCCCUUCAGAUGCUUGAGACACUCUCUGUUCGUGAGUGGGCUGAAGAUGGCACUGAAGGCUCAGGUGGCUAUCGAGCUGCUGUUGUUGGUAACCUCCCUGAUUCCUACCAACAGUUUCAGUACAAGCUCUCAUGCAAAUUAGCCAAAGAUCAUCCCGAGUUGAGCCAGCUUCUGUGUGAAGAGAUCAUGCAGAGACAACUUGAUGCUGUUGAUAUAAUUGCUCAGCAUCAGGUGUUAACCUGUAUGGCUCCAUGGAUUGAAAACCUGAAUUUUUGGAAACUCAAGGACUCAGGUUGGAGUGAAAGAUUAUUAAAAAGUCUCUAUUAUGUUACAUGGAGGCAUGGAGAUCAGUUUCCUGAUGAAAUUGAGAAACUUUGGAGUACAAUUGCUAGCAAGCCCCGGAAUAUUAGUCCAGUUUUAGAUUUCUUGAUUACAAAGGGAAUUGAAGAUUGUGAUUCAAAUGCAUCUACUGAAAUAAGUGGUGCUUUUGCCACAUAUUUCUCAGUUGCCAAGCGAGUAAGUCUGUAUCUAGCACGUAUAUGUCCACAACGCACAAUUGAUCAUCUAGUUUACCAGCUUUCUCUGCGGAUGCUGGAAGAUAGCAUCGAACCAAUUGGGCCAGCUGCAAACAGGGCUGAUGCCAAUGGAAAUUUUAUUUUGGAAUUCUCUCAGGGGCCUGCAGCGGCCCAGAUUGCAGCAGUUGCAGACAGCCAGCCACAUAUGUCCCCAUUACUUGUGCGGGGUUCCCUUGAUGGUCCAUUGAGAAAUACUAGUGGAAGCCUGAGUUGGCGUACAGCUGGUGUUUCAGGAAGAAGUGCCUCAGGCCCACUAAGUCCAAUGCCUCCAGAAUUAAGCAUUGUUCCAGUAACUGCAGGCAGGUCAGGGCAGCUCCUUCCAGUGUUGGUAAACAUGUCAGGGCCUUUAAUGGGAGUUCGAAGUUCCACAGGAAGUUUACGGAGCCGCCAUGUUUCCCGGGACAGUGGCGACUACCUGAUUGACACUCCAAAUUCUGGUGAAGAUAUCUUGCAUUCUGGGGUUGGGAUGCAUGGUGUUAAUGCUAAAGAACUUCAGUCAGCUUUGCAAGGGCAUCAGCAGCACUCACUUACUCAUGCAGAUAUAGCAUUGAUUCUACUUGCAGAAAUUGCAUAUGAGAAUGAUGAAGACUUUCGUGAGCACUUACCUCUGCUCUUUCACGUCACAUUUGUUUCAAUGGAUAGCUCAGAGGAUAUUGUACUGGAGCACUGCCAGCAUUUGCUUGUUAAUCUACUAUACUCACUUGCAGGUCGGCACUUGGAGCUGUAUGAGGUUGAAAGCAAUGAUGGAGAGAACAAGCAGCAGGUUGUCAGUUUGAUCAAGUAUGUUCAGUCAAAGCGAGGGAUCAUGAUGUGGGAGAAUGAGGACCCUACAGUUACAAGGACUGAGCUUCCUAGUGCUGCACUUCUGUCUGCACUUGUUCAGAGUAUGGUUGAUGCAAUCUUCUUCCAAGGAGAUCUUCGUGAGACUUGGGGUGUUGAGGCACUCAAAUGGGCUAUGGAAUGCACGUCAAGACACCUUGCCUGUCGUUCUCACCAGAUCUAUCGUGCAUUGCGGCCUAGUGUUACAAGUGAUACAUGUGUGUUACUCCUUCGUUGCCUACAUAGAUGCUUGGGAAAUCCAAUACCCCCUGUUCUGGGCUUCAUCAUGGAAAUUUUACUGACCUUGCAAGUAAUGGUGGAGAACAUGGAGCCAGAAAAGGUGAUUCUCUACCCACAACUCUUUUGGGGUUGUGUGGCCAUGAUGCACACAGAUUUCAUUCAUGUCUACUGCCAGGUUCUUGAGCUCUUCUCGCGUGUGAUUGACCGUUUAUCAUUCCGGGACAGAACAAUUGAAAAUGUUAUCCUUUCCAGCAUGCCUCGAGAUGAGCUUGAUAAUGUUGAUAUUGGGGAUUUUCAGCGUAUGGAAUAUAGGGGCUAUGAUUUGCCAAAAACCAGUGGCAAUCUGCCAGCAUUUGAAGGAGUGCAGCCCCUGGUACUUAAAGGACUCAUGUCCACUGUUAGUCAUGGUGUAGCAAUUGAGGUCCUCUCUCGUAUCACAGUGCACUCAUGUGACUCAAUUUUUGGUGAUCGUGAGACUAGACUACUGAUGCACAUUACAGGAUUGCUUCCCUGGCUUUGCUUACAGCUCAGCAAAGACCCAUUGGUGGGCCCAACUUCACCACUGCAACAACAGUACCACAAAGCCUGCUCUGUUGCUGCCAACAUCUCAAUUUGGUGUCGAGCAGAAUCAUUGGAUGAAUUAGCCACCGUGCUUCUGGCUUACACCAGAGGUGAGAUCAAAAGCAUUGAUAAUCUCCUUGCCUGUGUCUCACCGUUAUUGUCCAACGAAUGGCUCCCUAAGCACUCAGCUCUGGCUUUUGGACACCUGCUACGGCUACUGGAGAGAGGUCCAGUUGAGUAUCAACGUGUGAUAUUGCUCAUGCUUAAGGCAUUGCUCCAGCAUACUCCCAUGGAUUCAGCUCAGAGCCCACACAUGUAUGCCAUUGUAUCACAGCUAGUUGAGAGCACCUUGUGUUGGGAGGCACUAAGUGUGUUAGAAGCGCUUUUGCAGAGUUGUAGUUCAGUGCCUGGUUCACACCCACUUGAGUCUGGGCCAUUUGAAAAUGGGACAGAUGACAAGGUGCUAGCUCCUCAGACCUCAUUUAAGGCUCGAAGUGGGCCACUACAGUAUGCUAUGGUAUCUGGUUUCGGGGUAAGUUCAACAUCAGUUCCACAAGCAGUUUCCACCGAGUCAGUUAUGACACCUAGAGAGGUGGCUUUGCAAAACACUCGAUUGAUCCUCGGGCGGGUGCUUGACAGCUGCGCCCUGGGGAGAAGAAGGGAAUAUAGAAGGCUGGUGCCUUUUGUGACCACAAUUGGAAAUCCAUGACCUGCAAGCUUGCACAUUUAAUAUUAUUAUAUAUAUUUUUUACUUCUUUUCUUUUUGCUAUUAAUUUUAAGAAGCUUACAUUAUACUUUAGAUCGAGCGCUGGGAAAACUUGGGACCUGGCUCUGGGCAUAAUAAGUCUGUAAUUGUAGUUAGUAGCGUAAUAUUUUUGGAAGUGUUAGCAUUCCAGGCCCCUUGAAGUCCAUGCCUUAUGUCACCUAUUCUUUAUAACUGUGUAAUUUCUAAAUUUCUCCCCAAUCCAUUCCUUCGCUUUUGCUACCAUCAAACUUUCAGUUUUUUUUUUGUUUUUUGCCAGCUGUCGUGGCCUUGAAGGAAGUUAUUAAUAAUUUUACAUUGAUUAUGUAUUAGAAUUUGAUUGGCUAUUUAAAUGUUUGUAUGUCUUCGAUUUUAGGUUGUUUUUUCACGGCAAUAUCGUGGGAUUCAACAGGUAAAAGUGGAUAAAUAUUUAACAAGUUGGCGAGCGAACAAUAUCUCUUAUGUGUUACUCAAUAUUUAAUGGACUGCAAUGAGACUUUAAAGUCCUAUUAACUAUGAUGUGGAAUUCAGGCUUCAAGGAGAACGAAUCUUAUCGAUCAGCCGGAGAAAAGGAAUCUCGAAAUUGGUUGUAAAGUAAGCUCAUCAAUUUAGGAGCUUCUAUUUCUGUUUUAUUCCAUAAUUCAAAAGCAAAGAUGUUUCCGUGGUCGAAGAAAAUGCUGAUAACAAUAAGAAGUCGGCUUCUGGAUUUCCGGUUCUGUUGUAACUCAUCUUGCCUUUUUUAUCCGAUGUGAUCGUCAAUUUCAUUUACGUUUUUGUCUAGCAGUUACAUUUUACGUUUUAGCUUUUUGCAGUUCAACCGAGAUGAAAAUAAGUUUCCGGUAUCAACAUCUUUGAAUAUGCUUUGUCUGUGUAGGUAGAUAGGUAAUUCCUGUAGUUUAUUUAUAUUUUUAUUGUUUUGAAUUAAAUACAUAUAAAAUUUAAAAAUUAGUUUUAUAAUUUAUGUUUAAUAUAUUAAACACUAAAUAAAUAUUUUAAAUUUUCUUAAAUUUAUAUAUAAUUUUUACUAAAAUUUUAAUUCAUAACUCAUAAAUUUUAUACCGAAUGAAUAUUUCACUAGUUUAUUUAUUCUUCUUUAUUCUUUCCUUAAUGACAAAGUUUGUAAUAUUUAAAAAAAAAAAAAAAAAAGAUAAGAUCAGAAGACUUAGAAAUGAAAACGUGGAGAAGUCAACAGUUAAGCAGGAAACUCCAACGAAAUUACAUUAAAAAACAAACAUGAUGCGACAUCCCUUGACGCCAUUGGUCCCCAUGGACUCUCGGCAACGUGGAUGUCGGCCUUGCCUUCCCCCUGCCUUCUUUGUCAAGAAAACAAAAAAAUGAAAAUUCUAGAAGCGUCCGGACCAUUUCUUAUUCCUCCUUAUGCUAUAUGCUAUAAAUCAGCAGCUGAAGGGUGCAGUGGCUUAACGCUGUUACCUUCACUCAUCACCCAAAAGAAAAAAAAAAUUACCAAACCGAAAAUUUUUCUGUUUCGACAAUGGCUGAGGCUGAAAACAAUGUUGCUGAAACGAUCAACGGUGAUUGUCACGAUUUUAAGUCGCUUCUGUCUUCUUCAGACAGGGAUUUCCUCGUCCGUAACAACGGUGAUCAGGUAACUAAGUCCGGUAGAACAAAUCUUUCUUGUCUGAUUUUUGUCUUCUUGUAACCUUUAUCAAUGUUUGAUUAAAAGGGUUUUUUCUUUUAGAAGAGGAAAACAGUUGAGUUUAGGAUUUUCCUUUUAAACUCUCUGUGCUUCAGUUUUAAUCUUCUAGAAGGGAAAGCUGGGAAAUUACAUUUUUUGGGAAUGAGUUUUGUUUCUUUUAAGAUUAGAUGUAGUCAACUGGGAUAAUGAUUUACGAUGUUUUCUGAACUGGGUUUGGAGCUUUCCAUUGGCUGCCUAAUUCAAAUGAAAUUGACGAGUUAUAUUGGGUAAAUAUUAUACUUUUCAAUAAUAAUAAUCAUAUCUGUCUCUACACGUUUAUUUUAAUAUGUUUUUUUAAUGACUGGACCUGAUGAAUAAUAAUAGUGUGAGAUCUACUGUUGUGAUUUUCGUUUAAGGUAUAUGAGCUUUAUGGUUUGUUGGAUAUUAUCCUGUGUAUUUUAGUGGGAUCUGGAUAACUGUCACUGUUGGAAGGUUUUUUCUUUUCUCUGUUCUUUGCGGUAAUUAUGUUUGGCAAUGUAGCCUGAGAUUUUCAUUUUACAGGUUAAAAUUGACAGUUUGAAGGGGAAGAAACUUGGAUUGUAUUUCUCAGCAUCAUGGUGUGGUCCGUGUCGAAGAUUCACCCCUAAGUUAGUGGAGGUGUACUCUGAACUCUCUCCCAAAGGCGAUUUUGAGAUCAUUUUUAUCUCGGGAGAUGAAGAUGAAGAGUCGUUCGACGGUUACUUCUCUAAGAUGCCAUGGCUUGCAAUCCCUUUUUCUGAUUCAGAAACACGUGAGGGGUUGGAUAAGUUGUUCAAGGUGAUGGGAAUACCUCAUCUUGUGCUCUUGGAUGAAAAUGGGAAAGUCUCCACUGAUGACGGAGUUGGGAUCAUUCGAGAGUAUGGAGAGGAAGGGUAUCCUUUCACCCCUGAAAAGAUCCAAGAAUUAAAAGAUUUAGAAGAAAAGGCCAGGACUGAACAGUCCGUAAAAACUAUCUUGGUUUCCCGUUCACGCGACUUUGUAGUUACAUAUGAUGGAAACAAGGUAACUUUGAUAACUGUGCUGAUUGUUUACAACGCAGUUGUAGUUUUUAUGGCUUUUUUGGAUGGGUUUGAAAUUAUCAUUGCUAUCCUAAUCUGUACUUUGUUCUUUAUUUGUAUACUAGGUACCUGUGUCUGAACUUGAGGGGAAGACUGUAGGUCUAUAUUUUGCAGUGUCUACCUUCAAGCCAUCUGCCGAUUUUACUGCAAAACUUGCCGAAGUUUAUAAGAAAUUGAAGGAAAAGGGGGAGAAUUUUGAGAUUGUUGUGAUAUCCCUUGAUGAUGAAGAGGAAUCUUUCAAGGAAAGCUUUGUGGCACCUUGGUUGGCAGUGCCUUUCAAAGACAAGAGUUGUGAGAAAUUGACUAGGUACUUUGAGCUCUCUACCCUUCCAACUAUUGUUAUUAUUGGGCCAGAUGGGAAAACUCUUCACUCUAAUGUUGCUGAAGCUAUUGAAGAACAUGGGAUUCAGGCCUAUCCCUUCACCCCUGAAAAAUUUGCAGAGCUUGCAGAAAUAGAGAAAGCAAGAGAGGCAGCACAAACUCUGGAAUCGGUUCUGAUUUCAGGGGAUCUGGAUUUUGUCAUUGGGAAGGAUGGUGCUAAGGUAUGGUUUUUAGGUUUCCUUAGAUGCUGCUAAUUCUUCAAUAUCCUCUCAACCUUAAAUUCUGUUUUAACCAAAAUGAUUUGACCUUAUAUUGAUUUGGAGUUUCUUCAGCAUUUUUUUAGCUUCACUUUAGUCACUAGUCAUGCAUUAGACCAUAGUUUUGUCACUACACACCCCACCAUAUUCUGCCCGCAUUCUCUUUCACAGCUCUUUAACUAUUUUUUCUCAAGUAUUUCAUGCUCCAUACGAGUAUAAGCAAUGGUUGGCAGCAAGGCUACUCAACUCAGCCCCCAUAUUUCUGAUGAGUAAUCAAUUUAUAUCCCAUUUCAGGUUCAGGUCACUGACUUGGUAGGGAGGACUGUUCUCUUGUACUUCUCAGCACAUUGGUGCCCCCAUGUCGUGCCUUCACUCCAAACUUGUUGAAGCAUACAACAAGAUCAAGGCAAAGGAUGAAGCGUUUGAAGUGGUUUUUAUUUCUAGUGACAAGGAUCAAGCCUCCUUUGAGGAAUAUUAUUCAGAAAUGCCCUGGCUGGCACUUCCUUUUGGUGAUGCUAGGAAGCCAUUGUUGAGUCGCAAUUCAAGGUCCAAGGCAUCCCUAUGCUUAUUACCAUCGGACCAACUGGAAAAGCUGUUACAAAUGAGACCAGGAUCUGAUAAUGGACCAUGGGGCCGAUGCUUAUCCUUUCACUGAGGAGCGUUUGAAGGAGAUUGAGGCGAAGUAUGAGGAGACGGCAAAGGAGAUGGCAAAGGAGUGGCCUGAGAAGCUAAAACAUGAACUGCAUGAGGAGCAUGAGCUGGUGCUAACUCGUCGCAGGUCUUACUAUUGUGAUAAAUGCAAUGAACGAGGACAAAUCUGGUCAUUCUACUGUGAAGAAUGUGACUUUGAUCUGCAUCCAAAGUGUGCCCUGGAAAAAGAUAAAGAAACCAAAGCUGAUGAAAAGGAGGAAGAAAGUCCAAAGGAAGGCUGGGUCUGUGAUGGGGAGGUUUGCAAAAGAGCUUGAUGAACUUUAUCCAUGGGUUUGGUGGUGCAAUUUUCUAUUUUUCAUGUAUGUUUUCAGUUAUGGCAGUGGUAGUCUACUCUAUGGUUUGUUUCUUGUUGGGCUUGGAAAUACUUGGGUAUUGUAGCAGUGGUGCUCUAUGGUUUUUUUCUUAUGAAGCUAUGUCAUAUCUUACGAGGUAAUAAAACUUUGAAAGCGGGUCUUAAGUAGCAAUGGUGUUCUAAACUUGAAUGCAUAUCUACUGUGAAAAACCUGCAGAUUGGGUGCUCUAUGUACUGUAGAUUGGAUUGCACUGUCCACUCCACGUGUUGAUUUCUUUUUUAAUUUUUUACAUAUUUAUUAUAAAACGUUUUUGGGGUUCUCAUAGCUUUCUCUUAUUGGUGCGCUCUACUUCUUUAUUUUUUUUAAUAUCAUAUAUUUCUACUUUUUAUAUUUAAUUAUAAAAAAUUUGAAAAUGAGACAAUUUUUUUGUUUUUGGUGGGACUCUUUUUCGGUUUGGUUUUUUCAAAUUUUUAUGUAUUUUAUAUUUUUCCAAUGAGGGCUGGGAUUCACUUUUUUUGAAUAUUUUUUUUCAGUUUUACAUUUUUUAUAUGUUUUCAUUUUUCUUUAUAUUUUCUAUAAAAAAAUUUUUGAAAGUAAGAUUCACAAUUCUUUGUGCUUUGUGGGACUCUCUUUUUUUUUUUUUUUUUUACGGUUUGUCUUUUAAAAACUUUCAAAUUUUUUUAUAUAUUUUAUUUUUUUUAUUUCAAAGGGAUCCAUUAUUUUGGGAGAAACCCAUUAUUCUAUUAUAAUUUUUUUUUGGAAUCUGUUUUUUUUACUAAUCUUUUAGGGUGACGAGGUUUUUUAUUUCGAAGGGAUACAUUUCUUAAUUUUUAAAAAAAUUUAAUUAUUUAUUAUAUAUUUUUAUUACUUAGUUGAUACAAAAUGUUGUGUUUCUUUUUAAUUAAGUUUUCAUUUUAUAUAUUUUUUCAUUUUUUUUAUAUUUAAUAAAUUAUUGUUUAGAUUUUAAUUUUUUAUCAAUUUGUCAAAAAUAUGUGAGUAACAAAUAAUUUAUUUAUUUUUUACUUUUACCGUUUAAUUUUUUUUCUUGUUGAUAAAUUUUUUAUUUUUUAUUUAAUAAAUAUACUUGAAAUAUUUUUUUAACUGAUGAACAAAUUUGAUAUUAUUAUUAAGGAUAUAUUUUUUAGUUAUUUUUUAUAUGAUAAUUUUAAAAAUUAUUAACGAGGAGGUCAAUGUCAUAUCUUAAUUUAAUUUUUUUGUCCUUUCUUUUGGUUUUUUUUUUUCAAAUUCAUGAUAUAAAUUUGUCAAAAAAUAAUUAUUGCCGGUGUUAUGUGUCAACUUAAUUUUUUUUUAUUUUUUUCAAUAGUUUUUUUAUUCCUGUUUUUUCCACUUUUCUAUUUAAUAAAUAUUUUUUAUUUAUUCUUUUAUGGGUAGGGUAAUUUUUAUUAAUAAUUAGAAUAAUUUUUGUACCUUCUUUUGUAAUUAAAUAGUUUUGUAUAGAAAUAUAUUAAUGGAUGUAUCAACAUGAUAUCUAGAUUUGAUUUUUUUUUAAAAUUUUUUAAAAUUUUAUAAUAUAAGAAAAAUGAUCUUCUUAAUCAAUAAUAUCAAAUUGGCUUUGCAAACAAAAAAUCACAAUAUAAUAAAAAAAUUAAAUAUAAAAAAGUAAAUAAAAAUAAAAAUAUAUAAUACAAAUUUUACAAGAAAAGUUAAUAGUGAUAUGGGUAUAAAAUAACCCACAUCCGAUAAGUUUUAAUUUAUUUGGAUUUAAUACAAUUAUUUUACAAAAAAUUAAGAUCAAGUCAAAAAUAAAUUUAUGAUGUUCUGUUUUACUUUAAUUAUAUAUGUUAAAUUAUAGUUUAAAUUAUUUAUUUAAUUUUAUAUUUAUAUGUAUUAUAUUAAUAAAAUUAUUAUUUAAUAUCUUAAUUUAAUAAAAAAUUAUAUUUAUGCAUAAUUAAAAUUAAAUUUAUUUAUUAUAUAAAUUUAAUUCAAUUUUUUUGUUUGAUCUUCAUUUAAAGUCUCAACAUGCCAUUUUUUUCUCUUUUUUCUUUUAACUUCUUAUGGACUUUUUAUUUUGAUAAAUUUUGUGAAAAAAAAUAUAUAAAUGCCUACGUGAUACCCCGAUUUAUUUUUUUUGAUUUUUUUAAUAAAAUAAAAUUUAUAAUAAAAUGAGCUGAUUUAUAGCAAUGACAAAAUAAUUUGUAUAAUACCCCGAUGAGCUUUCCUUUACUUUGUUUAAAUUCUUUUUUCUUUAACCCCAAUCUUGCUUUUUUUUUUUUUUAUGAUUUUCACAUGGCAAUCCAUUUGAGUUUUUUUUAUCUUUAGUUUCUUUUUUGCAUUUUUUUAAUAAGAUAAUUUUUGUAACACAAGUUGCAAAUUUAUAAAUAUGUCAAAACAAUUUGUAUCUCACAAUUCUUGAUUUAUCUUAAUUCAACAAAUAGAUGAUUUUCAAAAAUCAAGAUUGAAUUACGACAAGUUGAAUUUUUAAGAAAAAUACAAGAUUAGAUAAAAAGUGUGUUCAUAGUAUUUUGUUACAACCUAUUUUGAAGUGUUUAUAAUUUUUUUUUAAUUUUUUGUUUAGUUAUAUAUAUAUAUAUAUAUACAUAUAUGUAUUCUAUUAGUAAAUUAAUUCUUUUUAUUUUAAUUAAGAUUUUUUUAUUUUAAGCUUAAUAUGAUAUGUCAAUGUAUCAUCCUCUAUUUGCUCUUUUUUUUCUUUUUAUAACUUAAUUUUAGUUUUUUUUCAACUUUUUUCAUUUACUUUUCUCUCACUUUUUACUUUUUUUUUUUGGUGUUUUUCAUAUUUUUUGGACUAAUUUAAAAGAAAAGUUGGUCAAUUAAGAUAUACAUGUUUCAUCUCCAUUUAUUUUUCUCUCAUUUUAUAUAUUUUUUAAAUUGGAUAAAUUUUGCAACAAAAAACAAUAAUUAGAUAUGGUAAAACAGAAAAAAAUUUACUCGCAAUUAGAUCAAAUAAUUCAAAACAUGACUCAAUGGUAUAAUAUAAAAAAGAUAUAAAAAAUGAAAAUAACACAAGUUAAAAUUGUAGCAAAAUAAAUAAAAAAUAAUUUUUUUGUAUUAAUAUGAAUUAUAAUAUGUAAUUUUUAUGAAAAACAUAAUAUAAAUAUACGAAUUCUUAAUAUUUUAUAUAACACGAUUACAUGAAUUGACAAGUCUAUCUGUGACAUCAUGUGGACACCUUUCUAAUUAUAUAUAUAUAUAUAUAUAACGUUAUGAAUGCUUUUUAAAUUAUGAUAAAAUAUUUAAUGCAAUGUUAGAAUUUAAAAAAAUUAAAAUAUGGUAGUUGAAUUAUGGAUCUAUUAGUUAAUAUGGUGUUUGCUUCUAAUAUAAUUAAUCUAAAAUAAUGAUACGUGACAAAUAAAUAAUAUUUAAAUAUUAUAUUAAUUAAUAAAUCUGUAAUUUAAAUAUUAUAUUAAAAAAUUUUUAAAUUUAUGCAUCACGUUAAAUAUUUAUUAUUCAAAAUCAUUUGUGACAUUAAUCAUAAAAAAAUAAAAAAUACUAUUUGCAGUACUAAUUUCCCUCAAACUCUUGAUCAUUGGUAUAUAGUCUUAAUUAUUACAGGAUAUUUGGUUCGUGAAAUUUUAAAUUUUGAGAAAAAGUAUGAUCUUUGAAGAAGUAUAAUUUCGAAGAAAAUGUGAUUUUUAAUGGCAUCUCAUUUUUAAAUUCCUAUAUUUAGUUAGGAGAAAUAUGAGAUUACUUAAUCAUUCUUUUUACUAUAAUGUCUUUCACUACAUAACAAAUCUAACAAUUUGUUAAAUAAAAAUAAUUGACAAAAAAUACAUUUCAAAUUGUAGAAACACAAUAUUCGACUGACUAAUUAUAAAAAAAAAAAAGAAUUAGUCAUCAAUUAUUGCAUUAAUUUCAUGCAGUAAUUGAUUAUACACUUGUUUUAAAAAAAUUAUAAUAAAUAAUUAUUGCAUUUAGCUUUAAAAAAAUAUAGUAAUUGAUUAAUUUGAAAAAAUUAUAAUAUACAAUUAUUGCGUUUAUCCUAAAAAAAAUAAUUAAUUAUUUUUAAAAAAUAACAAAUAAGUAUUGCAUUUACUUUUAAAGAAAUUUAAUAAUUAAUUAUUUUAUUAAAAUUAUAAUAUAUAAUUACAGCAUUUAUGACUAAACAAAAUACAAUAAUUGAUUAUUUUAAAAAAUUAUAAUGAAUAAUUGCUGUGUUUAUUUUUUAAAAGAUGAAAUAUUUAAUUAUUUUAAAUAAAUUAUAAUAAUUAAUUAUUACAUUUAUUAAAAAAAUACAAUGAUUAAAAUUUUUAUAUAUUUUACAAAAAUUACAAAAUAUAAUUGGUGCAUUUAAUUUUACUGAAACGCAAUAAUUAUUUAUUUUACAACAAUUCAUUGGCAUUGUAUAUAUUAUAAGUAGAUAGCUAAAAAAAAUUUUAGAUCCAUCGCAUGGGUCCCAUCUCCAAUUGUUCCUUCUACAUUUUAUUUGGUCCCCUCAUUUCAUAGCGCGUUGAUCCCAUCUUCAAUUAAUGCAACGGAGAGACUCAUAUUAGCCGCUGCCACAUAUCUAACGACUUCAAAAGAGUGGAAUGGCAUGUGAAAAAUAAAAACGCAGUAAACGAUCAUAAUUAUUGCAUUUCAAAAUCUUCAAACGUAAUAUUCAAUUAAAAAAUAUAAAAAAAUUUCAUAGUAGUCAAAUAGUAUUUUUUAUUUAAAGAAACGUGGUAAAUAUUAUAAUUAUUGUAUUUUAAAAUUUAUAAUUUCAGUAUUUGAAUGAAAAAAAUAAAAAAAUUCAUAAUUAUUGUAUUUUUUUAUAUAAAUGUCAUAUUUGACAUUUAAAAAAAAAAAAACUCAAAUGCUAUCCCACAUUUUUCAAUAAACAUAAUAUUUGUGAUAUUUAUUUUUUGUUAAAAAAUUUUAAAUUUCAUUAUCAUAUAUUGAUUUUUAAAAAAAUAAAAUAAAAAAAUUUUUUUAUUCAAAUUAAAUAUGAAAUAAAGGUUUUUUUUUUUUCAAAAUCUUAGAAUAUCACGGAAAAGUAAAAUUUUAAUUCCUAAAUUUUUGAGUACUGUUAAGAGAUUUUUUCAAGAAUCGGAUACAUCUAAUAAAACAUGAAAAUUUAAGUACUCAACAACAACACUCCAAAGGAAAUUCUGGUGAAGAUAUCUUGCAUUCUGGGGUUAGGAUGCACGGUGUUAAUGCUAAAGAACUUCAGUCAGCUUUGCAAGGGCAUCAGCAGCACUCACUUACUCAUGCAGAUAUAGCAUUGAUUCUACUUGCAGAAAUUGCAUACGAGAAUGAUGAAGACUAUCGCGAGCACUUACCUCUGCCCUUUCAUGUCACAUUUGUUUCAAUGGAUAGCUCUGAGGAUUUGUACUGGAGCACUGCCAGCAUUUGCUUGUUAAUCUACUAUACUCACUUGCAGGUCGGCACUUGGAGCUGUCUGAGGUUGAAAGCAACGAUGGAGUGAACAAGCAGCAGGUUGUCAGUUUGAUCAAGUAUGUUCAGUCAAACCGAGGGAGCGUGAUGUGGGAGAAUGAGGACCCUACAGUUACAAGGACAGAGCUUCCUAGUGCUGCACUUCUGUCUGCACUUGUUCAGAGUAUGGUUUGAUGCAAUCUUCUUCCAAGGAGAUCUUCAAGAGACUUGGGGUGUUGAGGCACUCAAAUGGGCUAUGGAAUGCACGUCAAGACACCUUGCCUGUCGUUCUCACCAGAUCUAUCCUGCAUUGCGGCCUAGUGUUACAAGUGAUACAUGUGUAUUACUCCUUCGUUGCCUACAUAGAUGCUUGGGAAAUCCAAUACCUCCUGUUCUGGGCUUCAUCAUGGAAAUUUUACUGAACUUGAAAGUAAUGGUGGAGAACAUGGAGCCAGAAAAGGUGAUUCUCUACCCACAACUCUUUUGGGGUUGUGUGGCCAUGAUGCACACAGAUUUCAUUCAUGUCUACUGCCAGGUUCUUGAGCUUUUCUCGCGUAUGAUUGACCGUUUAUCAUUCCGGGACAGAACAAUUGAAAAUGUUCUCCUUUCCAGCAUGCCUCGAGAUGAGCUUGAUAAUGUUGAUAUUGGGGAUUUUCAGCGUAUGGAAUAUAGGGGCUAUGAUUUGCCAAACACCAGUGGCAAUCUGCCAGCAUUUGAAGGAGUGCAGUCCCUUGUACUUAAAGGACUCAUGUCCACUGUUAGUCAUAGCAAUUCAGGUCCUCUCUCGUAUCAUAGUGCACUCAUGUGACUCCAUUUUUGGGGAUCGCAAGACUAGACUACUGAUGCACAUUACAGGAUUGCUUCCCUGGCUUUGCUUACAGCUCGGCAAAGACCCGUUGGUGGGCCCAGCUUCACCACUGCAACAACAGUACCACAAAGCCUGCUCCGUUGCUGCCAACAUCUCAAUUUGGUGUCGAGCAAAAUCAUUGGAUGAAUUAGCCACUGUGUUUAUGGCUUACACCAGAGGUGAGAUCAAAAGCAUUGAUAAUCCCCUUGCCUGUCUCACCGUUAUUGUCCAACGAAUGGCUCCCUAAGCACUCAGCUCUGGCUUUUGGACACCUGCUACGGCUACUGGAGAGAGGUCCAGUUGAGUAUCAACGUGUAAUAUUGCUCAUGCUUAAGGCAUUGCUCCAGCAUACCCCCAUGGAUUCGGCUCAGAGCCCACACAUGUAUGCCAUUGUAUCACAGCUAGUUGAGAGCACCUUGUGUUGGGAGGCACCAAGUGUGUUAGAAGCUCUUUUGCAGAGUUGUAGUUCAUUGCCUGGUUCACACCCACUUGAGUCUGGGCCAAUUGAAAAUGGGACAGAUGACAAGAUGCUAGCUUCUUAGACCUCAUUCAUGGCUCGAAGUGGGCCACUACAGUAUGCCAUGGUAUCUGGUUUCGGGGUAAGUUCAACAUCAGUUCCACAAGCAGUUUCCUCCGAGUCACUUAUGACACCUAGAGAAGUGGCUUUGCAAAACACUCGAUUGAUCCUCGUGAGGGUGCUCGACAGCUGCGCCCUGGGGAGAAGAAGGGAAUAUAGAAGGCUGGUGCCUUUUGUGACCACAAUUGGAAACCCAUGACCUGCAAGCCUGCACAUUUAAUAUUUUUAUAUAUAUUUUUACUUCUUUUCCUUUUGCUAUUAAUUUUAAGUAGCUUACAUUAUACUUUUCAGAUCAAGCGCUGGGAAAACUUGGGACCUGGCUCUGGGCAUCAUAAGUCUGUAAUUGUUAUUAGUGGUGUAAUAUUUUUGGAAGUGUUAGCAUUCCAGGCCUAUUCUUUAUAACUGUGUAAUUCCCAAUUUCUCUCAAACCAUUCCUUCGCUUUUGCUACCAUCAAACUUCCAGUUUUUAUUUUUAUUUUUUUUAAGCCCGCUGUCAUGGUCCUGAAGGAUGUUAUCAAUAAUUUUACAUUGGGAAUUUGAUUGGCUGUGUAAAUGUUUGGUAUAUCUUCGAUUUUAACUUGUUUUUUCAAGGCAAUACUAUAAGAUUCAAGAGAUAAAAGUAGAUAAUAUUUAACAAGUUGGUGUGAAACGAACAAUAUCUCUUGUGUGCUACUCAACAUUCAACGGACUGCAAUGAGACUUUAAAGUCCUAUUAACUAUGAUGUGCAAUUCAGGCUUCAAGGAGAAGGAAGCAUAUCGAUUAGCUGGAGAAAAGAAAUCUCGAAAUUGGUUGUAAAGUAAGUUCAUCAAUUUAAGAGCUUCUAAUUCAAAAGCAAAGAUAUUUCCGUGGUUGAAGAAGAUGCUGAUGACAAUAAGAAGUCGGCUUCUGGAUUUCUGCUUCUGUUUUUACUCAUCUUGCUUUUUCUAUCCGAUGUGAUUGUCAAUUUCAUUUACGUUUUUGUCUGGCAAUUACAAUUUAUGUUUUAGCUUUUGCAGUUCAACUGAGAUGAAAAUAAGUUUCUGGUAUCAACAUCUUUGAAUAUGCUUUGUCUGUGUAGGUAGAUUUUUGUUUUGAAUUAAAUACAUAUAAAAUUUAAAAAUUAAUUUUAUAAUUUAUGUUAAAUAUAUUAAAUACUAAAUAUAUAUUUUAAAUUUUCUUAAAUUUAUGUAUAAUUUUUACUAAAAUUUUAAUUCAUAACUCAUAAAUUUUAUACCGAAUGAAUAUUCCACUAGUUUGUUUAUUCUUCUUUACUCUUUCCUUAAUGACAAAGUUUGUAAUAUUAAAAAAAAAAAGAACAAAAAGAUAAGAUCAGAAGACUUAGAACAGAAAACGUGGCGUAGUCAGCAGUCCAGCAGGAAACUCCAACAAAAGUACACCAUUACAAAACAAAUAUGAUGUGACAUUCCUUAACGCCAUUGGUCCCCGUGGAAUCUCGGCAACGUGAGUGGCCGCCGUGCCUUGACUUGCCUUGCCCCUGCCUUCAUUGUCAAGAGAAAAAUGUAAAUUCCAUAAAUCAGCAGCUGCAGAGUGCAGAGUGGCUUACCGCUUUCACCUUCACUCAUCAUCCAAAAGAAAAAAAGAAAAAAAACCAAACCAAAUAAUUCUGUUUCACAAUGGCAGAGGUUGAAAACAAUGUUUGCUGAAUACGAUCAACGGUGAUUGUCAGGAUUUUAAGUCGCUUCUGUCUUCUUCAGACAGGGAUUUCCUCGUCCGUAACAACGGUGAUCAGGUAACUAAGUCCGGUAGAACAAAUCUUUCUUGUCCUGAUUUUUGUCUUCUUGUAACCUUUAUCAAAGUUUGAUUAAAAGGGUCUUUAGAAGAGGAAAACAGUUGAGUUUAGGAUUUUCCUUUUAAACUUUUCUGUGCUUAAGUUUUAAUCUUCUAGAAGGGAAAGCUGGGAAAUUACAUUUUUUGGGAAUGGAUUUUGUUUCUUUUAAGAUUAGAUGUAGUCAACUGGGAUAAGGAUUUAAGGAUGUUUUCUGAACUGGGUUGGAGCUUUCCAUUGGCUGCCUAAAUCAAAUGAAAUUGACAAGUUAUAUUGGGUAAAUAUUAUAGUUUUUAAUAGUAAUAAUAAUCGUAACUGUCUCUACACGUUUAUUUUAAUAUGCUUUUUCAACGACUGGACCUGAUGAAUAAUAAUAGUAUGAGAUCUACUGUUGUGAUUUUAGUUUAAGGUAUAUGAACUUUAUGGUUUGUUGGAUAUUAUCCUGUGCAUUUGAGUGGGAUCUGGAUAACUGUCACUGUUGGAAGGGUUUUUCUUUUCUCUGUUCUUUGCGAUAAUUAUGUUUGGCAAUAUAGCCUGAGAUUUUCAUUUUACAGGUUAAAAUUGACAGUUUGAAGGGGAAGAAACUUGGAUUGUAUUUCUCAGCAUCAUGGUGUGGUCCGUGUCGAAGAUUCACCCCUAAGUUAGUGGAGGUGUACUCUGAACUCUCUCCCAAAGGCGAUUUUGAGAUCAUUUUUAUCUCAGGAGAUGAAGAUGAAGAGUCGUUCGACGGUUACUUCUCUAAGAUGCCAUGGCUUGCAAUCCCUUUUUCUGAUUCUGAGACACGUGAGGGGUUGGAUAAGUUGUUCAAGGUGAUGGGAAUACCUCAUCUUGUGCUCUUGGAUGAAAAUGGUAAAAGUCUCCACUGAUGACGGAGUUGGGAUCAUUCGGGAGUAUGGGAUUCGGGCCUAUCCCUUCACCCCUGAAAAAUUUGCAGCGCUUGCAGAAAUAGAGAAAGCGAGAGAGGCAGCACAAACUCUGGAAUCGGUUCUGAUUUCAGGGGAUCUGGAUUUUGUCAUUGGGAAGGAUGGUGCUAAGGUAUGGUUUUUAGGUUUCCUUAGAUGCUGCUAAUUCUUCAAUAUCCUCUCAACCUUAAAUUCUGUUUUAACGAAAAUGAUUUGACCUUAUAUUGAUUUGGAGUUUCUUCAGCAUUUUUUUAGCUUCACUUUAGUCACUAGUCAUGCAUUAGACCAUAGUUUUGUCACUACACACCCCACCAUAUUCUGCCCGCAUUCUCUUUCACAGCUCCCUUCCCUUUUUUUAACUAUUUUUUCUUAAGCAUUUCAUACUCCAUACGAGUAUAAGCAA
rnacentral:lncRNA from 1 species